GAUAGUAUUGUAAUUUUCCUUGUGUCUUAAUUUAGUAAGCCAUCAUGGUUUCCAUGGGAAAUUAAUAAAAAAACCAAUACUAAAUGUACAUUUUCUUUCUCAUCAAUUAUUUUCUUAAAUGAGAAAUAAUACAUACAGCCACCAUUCAAUCACCAUAGGUCCAAAAUAAUUUUUAAAUAGCUUUAAAAAUAACUAAAUCUCAAUACAAAUUAAAGUAUUUCAUUUCGUAUACAUAUCUUUAGCAAUAUACAUCUUCAACUCAAUUAUGCUUCUAUAGUUAUGUCCUUCCUAAAAGAAUGUCUCCUAAGUACAUCACAACAAUAUAGUUGUGAAGAAUUCUUAAUAAACACCUUCGUGCAAAAAUAUAUGUGUGAAAGAAAAUUUGAGACUAAUAACUAAUUAAUGACCAGGACCUUUCCUGCUUGGUCCAGAAACCAUAAUAAAAGCCAUGUUCUUUACUGAACUUUGUCUACUUCUCUUCACAAUCUCCGCUCCUCCUAGUUGUCUUCCUUUAUCAUCUUGUGAAGCCGCCGCCGCGACGUUGUUUUUGGGCGAUUGCUCCCGAAGGGAUCGACAAUUGACACAACUAAUUAGUUGUGUACUGAUCAUUAAGAGAAAAACAAACAAAGCCAAUGUGAAAUAUGAAGUUUUUCUAACUCCUGCCAUGAUAUUGUAUGUAUGAACUUUGGGAAUGUUGUGUUAAUUAUUUGUGUAAAGAAAAAUGACGAUUGAUGGAGUAGUUAGAUAUUGCAACUGCUGGCAGUAUUUAUAAUGAAAAAAGUACUAUGAGAGGGACGGUGAGGAACCUUUUUUUUUUUAAUAUAGAAUUGUGACACUUAUUAACUACUUUGACUUAUGAGGAUGGAGAGAAUUGCAAUACUUUUCUUAAAGUUUGUACAAUAAAUCUUUCGGCUAAUAUUACUAUUAGAGCCCCUUUUUAUAAAAAUAAACAAAUUGUUGAGAAUGUUUUAUGAGUAGUUGGAAUAUUUCUCUACACUGAUAUAUAAUGAUGUUAUCUCAUACGUUAGGAUACAGAUUUUUUUCAUUUCACACAUGAGAAUAUUAAUAUUCAAAUUCCGUGUGUACGAGCUUUGCAUUUUCUACGCGGUCUUUAAUUUGUUAUGUUUUUUGCAUGACGGUAUAAAAAAAAAAAAAUUGUAUGGAAAAAGCCAAAGACAGGCAAUUUUGAUGGCAGGUGGCAUGACAAGGAAACCUGUGAAAUUAAAAAGGGUUAGGACUAUAUAUUAUGUGUUCUUUUUCGUGGAAACCUCCUUUUUUUUUAUGGCAAGACGGUGCUUGAUUGUUAUAGUUCCAAAAUUCUUGUACCUAAUUAUAAGUUUAAAUGAAUCCUUGAUAGUUGAUACUAAGAGAUUGGUUGGUACUUGGUACGCGACUAGCGAGAGUAGUGGGAUGAGAUAAACAAGAAUAUCUUAUGAGAUUAUAAUUUUAUAAAAACUUUUUGGUAUAUAAUAAUAAUUUCAUUAUUUUAAUGAGACAAAAUAAUUUUGGGAUUAAUAUGAUAUAAAGAAAAUUGAAUAUCUUAUUUUGGAAUAAGUUAUCCUACGAUUUUAUUCCAAUCAAAUAAUAUGAAAUAAAUUCAUUCUAAAAUUAAUCACGAAAUUAAUUAUUCUUUUAUUUCUUGUAUCAAAAAAGCGGAGUUUAAUCUUUGUAUUUGAAGCCCAUUAAUUAGAUAAAAGGGUUUAACUUAUAUAUAUUAACGGUAAAAAUUACUUUAAUUACUAUGAGUGCUUUUAUAGCAGCAAGUAAUUUAGCGAUUUUUCACGAGUUGGGGGCAUUUAUCCCCUACCAAUCCAUUAUCAUUCUUCGUAGUAUACCUAGAAAUCAAAAUUGGAGGGGGGGGAGACAUGAAAAAAUUAAAAUAAAAUCUAAAAAAUAUUUCCCGCUAUACUAAACACACCCAAAGAGUGUAAAGAAAGAAAAAUAGUUGCUAAUGUGAAUAUAACUGGUAGAUAAUCUUAUUUAUAAAUUAAGCAGAGUUGACGUUUGCUACUUUUCCUGCAACUACCUGCCUUAACCUAAUGUUAUUUCAUAAUAUAGCGUUAAUUUGCCUCCCAUUUUUUGUUUUGACAUACACUACCAUCCAAUUUAUUUAUAUUUUGCUUUCAACGUGCAUCUACUCCAAAAUUUUGACCCAAGACCAUGUGACUAUUGGGUUCCUCUUUCAGUUUUAAAUAAAUAGACUUGGGAUUCGUUGUAUUUUUUAUGAAAUAUUAUUAUGCUUUUAUUAUUAAGUACUCUAUUCAUUUUUCAAAUUAUUGAAUUUAUUAUAUUCAAAAGUUGAUAUUGUUAACUGAUACACAAUUUGUCCUUAUUGACUUGACAAACCUAUUAAGAAAAUAAUAAUUAACAUAGAGAGCUUAUUUUCCCUCAUUAAUUGAUAGAAUUUCAAAAUUAAUUUACUCAUUAAAGAUGUUUUACCUUUUUUCAAAAACAUUAACUUUCUAAAUAAAUUGAGGGUAUAAUAUGUAAAAAUAUUUUUUUUUCUUGAUUUGUCAAAAAUAACAAAUAAAACGGGACAAAUAAGAAAUUAAAAUUGAACAAAUAAAAAGAGACCAAAAACGUAUUAACUAAUUUAACCUAAAAUCAACAUCUUCUAACCUUCGUUGAUUUUGUUAAAAAUCAAACAUUUAUUAAUAUCUCUCACCUAACAUGUUUCGUUGUCAUACUCUGAAACUGAAUGUUAGGUGACUUUUCAUCUAUACUUGUAUUUUCUCUCUCUUUUUUUAAUACAGUUUGUUUUUCUACGACGACUCGACUAUAAUGUUAUUGUGUUUGUGGUAUUUAAAAUUGGCAACUUACAUAAAUCUCAUAAUUUUAAUAUGAAAUUACAAUCUAUUCCUCUUUAGUUUAUAAUUACAUUAAUACCUUAAAAAGUAACAUAAAUUGGAUAUAUAAUAUGUAGCUUGGAUACAUUAAAGAGUAUCUCGGACACAUAAUAUGUAGCUCGGAUACAUUAAAUACUGGCUUGGAUACAUUAAUAUGCAGCUCGGAUACAUUAAAAAAAUAAGGGAUUUUAGAGGUUUUUAGAAAUAGAAGGGGAUACUGGAAAUAAGCGAAACAUAAGACGUGUAUUUCAGUAAUUUUUCUUUUAAAUAAAAUAAUUACGAUUUGAACAUGUCACCAAAGGUAAUUAAACAUUUAAAUUAAAUUCUGAAAUUCGAAAAGAUGAUAAAUUGAAACAGUAAGUUAAUUCUAAAAUUUCCCUUGGAAGUAAAAUGGGAUAUAAGAAUUAAGAUAUAUACCGACUUUUUCAGGUUUAUGACUUUAACAAAUGAGAAAAUAAAUUGCUUUUGGAAUAUUUGGUCUAAUAAGAGGAAUCUCAACUUCUACCAAUUGUUAGAGUCAAAAAGUUGAAUAAAACUAUAUGCACAAAAAAAUAGCUCAUCAUGAGAUUAGCUGUUUGCUCUAUUUGUCCCGACACUACACUACCUACAAAUGUUUUCGUGACUACUUGGAGUUUUUCCAAUUAACUUGUUCACAUGUACUAUUGUUAUUUAGCCGCGGCGAAAACAAAAAUUUCGUUAAGGGUAUUCAAGAUCUAGUAAAUAAUAUAUGUAUGAAUUUUUUUUUAUAUUUAUAUACUUUGUACAUUUUUUAUAUAUAUAAUAUAAUUUUUCGAUGAAGGGUGCGUGAAUAGCCACCCUAAGCUAUAUGUGGCUACGCCACUGCUAUUGCACUCUCUCCGUCCACUUUUUUUUUAUCCAGUAUAUUUGAAAUAGAUGUUCGCUUUUAUUUGUCUAGUUUAGAAUUCAAGAGAUAAUUUAUCAUUGGAUUUCUAAUUAUCCUUGAAUUUAUUACAUUCAAAGAAUGAUAUAGUAAAUUAUAAUUUUAUUUAGGGAAAAAAGGACAAAUAUACCUCCGAACUAUCGUAAAUGAUAUGCAGAUACCCUCCGUCAUACUUUUGAGACAUUGGUGCCCAUGUCGUCCAAAAACUAGAGCAUAUAUACUUUUUAUACCAACGAACAUAUACAUGUCAUAAUUUUAUCCACCGAAUCAACAUUUAUUAAAUAUUGAAUUGAUGAAUAAGAAUGUGCCACAUGUCCCUACUUAAAAUGGACGUAAAGGGAGUAUAAUAUUAUAAGGAAUACAAGAGAGAAAUAAAUGACGUAGCUUAGUUGUUGAAGUUUGAAUUGUCGAGGGCCAAACUAUAAUGUAAAAUUUCAAAGCAUGUUUCUGACAUUAAUGCCUCCUCUUUGAACUGCAUUGUUAGAAUUAUUACAAAGCGUGCCAACGUUGGUCAAAAUCAAUUGAUGAGCUAUUGUUGAAAAUGAAAAAUUUGAAAAACAAAAAGAAGAUUUGUAUUAAGGUGGCUGAGUUAAACUAUGUCCAUUUUUUUUUUUUUGACAAAUGGUAGCUUUGACUUUGACAUUCCAAACAUUGAAAAAUCGUUAUUAAACGAGUAAACGAUCAUAGAAAUGAAGUUUAGCAAAUUAAAAUUGCAUUUACGUUUUAUGUAUUCAUGAUAGUGUCAAAACUAUUUAUAUAAAAAUGAAAAUACAACUCAAAUUAAUUUAAUAUGAUUAGAAUUUACAAAUUUGCAUUGGUAACUUGUAGAUAGAGACGGAGCUGGGCAGACAGAGUCUACUAAGUCAUCUACUUUUGAAUGUGGGUUCGCAGUCAAUAAUUAUAUACCUUUGCAUUUGAUAUUUUAGUACGAAAAUAUCGUCUAUGCAAAAGUUACUAGAUCGGGAACUAAAUAUAUAUAGGGUUUACUCAAAAGCUACGGGAACUUAUUAGUAGCUGGCCCAGCUUGAUAUGAUGAUUAGUAGCUUAUAAUAGUCGAAAAUAUUUAUUAUAAUAAUGUGAAAAAAAUGUUUUGUAAUAUACAUUAUUUAAAUGGAGGGGAAAGAAUUGAUGACAAAAAGUUACUCCAUGACUGUAUGAAGGAGUUGGUGGAAAUUGCUCCAAUAUUUUAUUUGGGCACUCAACCCCUUUCACCAAAGUCAACAAAAUUUCCAUUAAUGUUAAUAUAAUGAGCUCUAUUUUAGGAAAACUGUCAAUUCUAAACAUGACUACAAAAUUGGUAAGUGUUUAGUUGAAUUAAUCAAUUAUUUAGUUAAUGAGGAACUUCAAAUUAAUUUUAGGGGAAAGUUAUAUUUGCACCAAUUAUCACAUUUUAAGAUCAAUUAAUCACUAGCGGACCAAUUAAUAUUGGUUAGCAAUGUCAAUGCAAUGAUGAAUUGAAAAUAGGAAACGUCUAAUUAAGGAUGAAGUGGCUGACAUAUUCACAAAAUCUUUUUCAUCGACUUGAUUUCAGUUUUUACGAAACACACUCAAGGUGAGAUCGAAGGAUCCUCCUCGGAACUUCAUUUAGUAUUUGUCUCCUUCGUCAGAAAAUCACAUUGUGUAGCUAGGUAAAAAUAUUUUAAUAUGUUUAUAUAUUAUAUAUAGACACUCCUUAAUUCUUUAUAUUUUAACACCCCUUAAUCGAAAUUCUGAAUUUGCACCCCUUAUGCAAUUACAUAGGAAAAUACUCAUGCCUCGUGAACCCUAACUUCCCAAGAUUAUGAUCUCUAUUUUAUCCUCCUUGCAAUGCAUGAGGGUGACUAAUAUUAGUGUUUCACUUAAAAUAAUAGCAUAGUGGCUAUUCUUUCAAGUGCAUUAUAUUGUGCAUCACAUGUACCUCUAAGGCUUUAACAAAUUAUAUUCCUCCACAGCCAACCAACUAGGAUUUUCGUAACAUAAUUUUAUAAUCCCUCACCAUUUGUUUGUGAGUUUUCCAAGUAUUAUAUUUAUUUAAUUUAGAGUAUGUACCACCAAAGAAAUGAUUUUAUAUAUCGAAUCUAACAUAGUAUUAUACGAAUAAUAUUCUAGAGUGAUGAUCACGGAACGAGAAUGUUAAUAUUCAUUCUUUAUACUUAUUGGAUUUUUUCUUUCGUCAUUUCCAAUCUGGCCCUCCUAAAAUCAUGUUAAUUAAUUUAUCAUAUAGUGACGAUCACGGAUCAUGUGUAAAUGAAUUUUCAAGUGCAAAAUCUUAUAUAUAUAUCCAAUGUGAAAUCAUGAUAUUUAGGCGUUUUGAUGAUAUUUGGUUAAAAAUUGAAGGGAAAAAAAAGUAUUUAAAAUUAAAACUAGUACUUGGACAAUAUUUUAACUUAGAAAAUUGUGAGUUGAAAUCAUUAUUUCACUAGUACUCAUCAUAUGUAAUAAAUUUCAGAAUUUGUGAAUUCUUAAGGAAUAGUAAUACCAUAAUUAGAUUAAUUAAUUAGGAUUAAUUGUGGGAAUUUGUUGUGGUCACCGACCAGACACCGGUUAGUGCGCUCCGGCAGGAAUUAACGGAUAUCCAGCUAGGUUUUUAUAGAGUAUAGCAAAGUUUGCGCAAUAUGUGCAAUUAAUUCUUACAACUUCCAAUUUUAUAGGACACAUGAAAAGAUCUCUCAAUUUUUUUUUGUUGGUAUAACCACUACAAGCUUGAUAUUAUACAAGCCAAAAUUCAAUCAUUUAACAUAUAGGUAAAAACCAUAUAUAUAUAAAAGUCAUAAUUAUCAACAUUCGCGUCAUAUAGAACGGUAAAAUGUUUUCUUUUAAAAGCUCAAACUAAUUAAAAUCCCGGUAAUUUCAUUCAUUUCAUCAUAACUCUUAACGGAUUAUGCGUGCGUUAGGUGAACCCCCCCUCCUCCCAAAAAUUAUUUCCGUUUAGUCGUUUCGUUUCGAACUUUUAGUAGUAAAAAGCAUAUCAAUAUCAAAAUUAGAGCAUUUAUAGUAAAAUAUAAGAAAAUAUUGGAUGUGUUACAAUUUGUUUAGUUAUGGCAAGUAUUUAUCAAUCUAAACUAAAAUAAGGAGGAUAAUAGAUUAUUAAAAAUAAAAUAAAAUAAUAAUAUACUUCAUUCUUCUAUUUGUUUGAGACAAUUCCGACAAAUAUGCAUGGAAGUCAAAGUGCCUGAUCAUACGACCAAAUAGGUGAAUAUGACUAUUUCCCCUUAUAAAACACAUCAUUACUUCUCUUCAUAGAAUAACAUGUUACAAUUAGUUUGAACAUUUCAAAAACAACAACAAAGUAAAAUCAUGAAGCAAAAUUUUAUAAUCCUAGUAUUUCUCAUCGUCCUAAUUGUAUCGUCCUUUCAAUUAGUUCAAAUCCAAGGAUCAAGGAAUCUUAAAGAACACCAUCAUUAUCGUCUUUUUGCGCCACCAAAGGUUAAUGUUGAUCAACAACAACAAAGAUUCAAUAUCAGCAACUCAAAAUGGUUUACUCAGAAUCAGAAUAAAUCAAUAUCUUCGUCCAUUGAUAAUGCCAUGACAAAUCAAGCAUAUUCUGGCCCAAGUCAUAGCGGAAGUGGCCAUUAAUUACAUAAUUUUAAUUAAUUCCUUUAAUUUAUUGUAUUUUUUUCCUCUAAAAAAUGGAUUAUUCCUCGAGUUGCUUUAAUUUGUUCCUUUCACUUCAUAUUCAUUUUAUACUUACUUUUGGAUUGAUCACAAGAUUAAUUCCAAAUACAUUUUACACUACAUCUUUUUUAUUAAAGUAAUUUCAUUUUCAAAUUGAUUAUUCUUUUUGCAAUUGAAUUAUAUUCGUUAAUCUUCAACAAGCUAAGUAUCACAUUUUUCUUGUUAAAAACGUGUUUAUGGUAAACCAUAGAAUUAUUUUUUUUGGUGUGCGUAGAAGAAUAACAUAAAAGUCAUAAUUUGAAUCGCGAUAUACUAAGAUAAAAUUUUGUGAUAUUACAUAAUACAUUGUAUAGCCGCCACCUAAAAGAAUACCAAAUAUGCGUGUACAGUAUAUACGUAAAAUCUUGUAUAAAUUCCUUAAACUGAUAAGUGGUUUCCAAGAAGAAAUUUAAUUUAUUAUUUUAAAGAAUUGAUGCUUUGAGUGAAAUCGUAUUUCUAGAACUAGAUAGUUUGCAAGCAAAAAAAGAAAAGAAAAAAUACAAACAAUGUUUUUCACACAAUUAACAGGCAGUAAAAAUUCAGUUGGAAUAUUUAACAUAUUUUUAGUUUAAAAUGGUAAGAUUCAAAAGUUUUUUCUUUGUUUUUCUUAAACUUCAUGUCAAAUCAAAACAAGUAAAACAAAUUGAAACAGAUGAAUAUUUUGGGGAACUUACAUAAAUUUCACUAGUUUAGAAGUUAAUUACUUAGCUACACUCUAAUUUGCAAUAUACGUAUCUUACCAAAUUUUGGUGCUUCUAGAUACGUCUCUCAAACAUGGGAUCAAAUUUAGGUGUAAUUUGUUCAAGAUACAUUGCAUUCAUGUGGAUUCGCACGUAUCUGGGGUACAUAGCAAAUCUCACUCGCCUCUCUUUCAUCUCGCUCACCACUCUCCCAUGUAUCUGUUAUCCCAGAUACAUGCGAAUCACUCCAAAUACAUACAGGAUACAUGUAUCUAGUGUGAUUCACAUGUAUUUGGGAUACAAAUGAAUCUCGAUCACCUCUCUUCCUAUUUUUGUGUAUCUAGUAUAAAAAAUAUAUGUAUCUAAAUGUAAGAUACAUAAGAAAUUCUUAAUUAGUGGUAAGAUACGUUAUAUGUUAAAAGUAUAAGCAAUAAUAGUAUAUAUGGUAGUAAAGUAUGUCUCAAAUAUUUUUGGGUACUUAUCUUAGCCCAGUCACUGAUUGAGCUUGACUGUGAAUUAAUGGAUCAAUCCAGAGUUUAUAACUAGGUCCCUCUAAAGCCCAUAUUGGGUGGCCCAAUACUUUCUGCUGUGUCACAAUUUGCAGAUAAAUAAAGUUAAUAUAAAAUGAUUGGGGAAUAGACAAAACAUAUUGAGUGUUAAUUAAGGUGUCAUUUUCUGAGGUGAUUUCCUAAGAUAUUCUUUUUAUUGAUUAAGCAACAUUAUUAUCCUCUCUUCCUCUUAUUGGCUUGAUUCUAUCAUCUUUUUAAUCACUAGUAUUAUUAUGUUCUUUGAAGUUUAAAUAAUAGGUGUGUUUGGUAUAUGAAAGUACAAGGCACUAAAAUGUUUUCCUUUAAAAAUAAGUGGAUUUUUUUACUUACUUUUUAGUGUUGAGAAAUAAAAAAUAUUAUUCUAAAUAUAUUUAUACGUGAUUUAGAAAAAUAUUAUGAAGAUGGGACGUGAUGGAGAGUAAAGUAUGGGGUAAGAGAAAAUGACUAAAAUGGUCCUUAAUAUAUGUGUAAUGCUAUAUUUUGAUCUUUAAUAUAUUUCACUUGAUUGAAAUGAUCUUUAAUGUAUAACAAAUAUGUUCAUUUUGGUCAUUAAUAUAUUUCACUUGAUUGAAAUGAUCCUUAAUGUAUAACAAAAAGUGUUCAUUUUAGUUCUAAAUAUAUUUCACUUGAUUGAAAUGGUCCUUAAUAAUUAUCAGAAGGUGUUCAUUUUAGUCCUUUACCCUAAAUCUAAGAGAUUUUAUAAAAAAAAAAGUUAUUCAUAACUUAUUAAGUCUUUCAUUGUUUCAGACUGUGUUUUCUCUUCUUAGUUCAUUCAAUCAACAAUACAAAAAUUAAUUGAAAACAAACUUGAUCCAUAUACCAUCAUAUAUACUCCAAUUUAUUUAAAUAAUACUCAAAGUUGAUAGCAUAAAAAAUAUUUGAAAAAGAAAAAGAGAAGAUGAAAAUUACCAAUCUUUAAAUGUGAAAAUAUAAUAAUUAAAUAAAAAUAAACUAACGGUAUAAUUUUCUUGUCCACUAUUAAUGAAUAGUAGUUAAUCUCCAAAGGUCAAAACAUCUAUUUUUCUAGUAAUUAGUAUUUUUAUUAAGAGGGAUAUGUGUCAAAGGCUAAAAGAAUACUUAUUUUUUUAUUAUGAAUAAGAGGAAAUAUAAAUUGGGGCGAACCUAGUAUAUCGGGGGUGAUUUUUUGAGAAAUUCAAUAAUUUUUAUGCAGAUCAAAUAUUAUAUAGUAAUUAGUAUAUAUAAGAAAUAUCUAAUAACAAAGCUUGAUAUAGCGAUAAUGAAGAACCCAUUUAAGUGAGAUUUAUUUACAUGCGCUAAGAGAAUAAUUUCAGUGGAGACUGACUAUAAGAUGGAAGACUGUGCUAUUAAGGAAGUGGGAAAAGGCGAAGGAAUGGACCAAAAAACUGUGCUAUUGAAUGAGACAAAGGGCUAUAAAAAGACAAGGAAGUAGGAACACACCACUAAUCACAUGGACAAACUUGUCAUUUUCUCACGGCCCACCCAAAAACCCAAUUCAUUACUUUUCUUUUGUCCCCUUCGAUAAUCAUUUCUACAACCCCCCAUCCCAUGUGCUUCCCUUUAAUCCCACCAUUAACAUUUAACACACCUACCCCCCUAAUCUACCGAAUAAAAAGACUUCCUCUAUCCUUUAAUUUUCACAAUUCAGAUCUACCGAUGAAGCGGCAAUUCGACGCCGGAGAAACUGAUUGGGCCAAUUUCACCGGCGCCGAUGAUGUGAAGAAGAUGAAGAAGGAGUUGGAGGAAGAGAGGAAGUUACCGAUGAAGAGGCAAUUUGAAGCUAACUGUGCAACCACCGUCUCCGGCGACUUGAAAAAGAUGAAGCAGGUUAUAGAGUCGCCGGAGGUGGAUACGGAGGCGGUGUUGUUGAAUGAGAAUCUACUGUACGAAAUACUGAAACACGUCGACGGGCGCACGUUAGCUACGGCGGCCUGCGUUAGCAAACAGUGGAACCAGUCGGCGUUAGAUGAGCGUCUAUGGGAGCUGAUCUGCACAAAACACAACCGUAACCAACAGCAACAGCUCCGAGCCGUCGUCCUCGCUCUCGGCGGCUUCCGGCGUCUCUACUCACUCUACCUCUGGCCACUCUCCAAGCCGUCGCCGUCUUCUUCGACUCCUCCGGCUUCCGCCUGGCCUUGCCUUCCUCCGGCGCCUACUCGGCCGUUGAAAUACGCCGCUGCAAACACCCGAUGGGGAAAAGACGAAGUCAAUCUCUCGCUAUCGCUGCUAUCAAUUCGGUAUUACGAGAAGAUGAAUUUCAAAGCUAAUAAAUCAACUUAAUUGAUAUAUUAUAUAUUCAAUUUCGUAAUUUUAACAUUAUAUUAUCCUAGUUUUUCAGCUUAAGGUUUGAGUUUUUACUGUAUUGAAUCAUUUAUGCUUUUGAUCUAUUAGAUAGAUCUAUAUUUCUGUUAUGUAACAUAUGUACGCUUUUAAUUUUUUCCAAUUAAUGUAAAUUGAGGACUGAUUAAUUCAAGUUGUGAUUCUAAUUACUAUGUUAAUUAGCGUUAAUCUUUGUUUUGGGGAAAACAGGAUUAGUGUGAAAUAUGAACUGAAACAAACAGAUAAGAACAAAGAGUUGGCAACGCUUUCUGGCAGUAUUAAUGACUUUUGGAAAAAGAUAGGAAAAUGACGAAAAAAGUGAUGUGUAUUGGCUCUUGGGAUGUAUUAAUGGGGAUUUUAUUUUAAAUUAUAUAUAUAUGGAUUAGGGUGAAAUUGGAAUUUAGGUAUCAUUUGGCAUCCUGCUAGAAUCAAGAAGGAAAAAUCUUUUUGGCUAUUAUUUAUGUUAUUUUAUUUUUUAAAAUAUUUUUAUCCUUUUAACUUUAAUACCUUUUUUUUUUAAAUGACAAAAAGAUUAGUUUAUUUAAAAUAAAAAAAAAUAUUAUAAUUUUUUGGCCAUUUAACACUUUCCAAUCAAGAAUAUCUCACCUUGUUAUCCUAUUUGUGAGUCGGUGAUUAAAGUUUAUACCUUUUAUAAAGUUGGUGCAUAUUAACAAGUUUUAUUGACAUAAUUUGUGAAUAAUUGAACCAACCCAUACAAGUUUUGCUAUCCCGACAAACUUGUGAACAAUUUGUACAAAAUAAGUAUCUUUAUUUUUUUUCCCUUUCCUCUAAUAUUUUAUAUUUAUAUUGAAACGUAAUUAUUUUGGACUUGUACUGCAUAGAAUCUCAUUUGGAGAAGAAAAUAAAUUCAUAUGGAGAGCUCAAACUUACAUUGGAUCAAAUGUCAUUUUCAUACAAAAUGAUACUUGGUCCGACAUAAGAUUUGUCAAUUCGACAAAAUUGAUGGACAUUUUAGAAAGAUACCUAAAAGUUGAGAUUAAUAUAGUAAAGUUAUGUCGAUGGUAAAUUUUCCACAAAUUUCCUAAAUAGAGAUAAAAGUUAAACACUAGUGUCAAAUAAUAUUUUCUUCAUCUCAUUUAUGUGAGAUAGUUUGACUCGACACGAAGUUUAAAAAAGGAAGACUUUUAAAACUUGUGGUCUAAAAUGAAUGAUAGAAAUUGUAUAGCUAUAUAUCAUUUCAUUAAGAAUAAAAUUGACAUUUAAAAUUACAUUAUUAUUUAAUAUAGAAAUAUGGGUCAAUUUUUUUGGACCGAUAAAAAAGGAUAAAUUGGAACAGUGGGAGUAUUAUUUGUGCAAAGCACCGAAGAAAAAGGAAAACUGAUUUUUGGGCCUUUUGAUUUGGAUCACUUCAUAAAAUUAAGGAAUGUUUCCUAGUGGAAUUACUGUAGAUUAGAACAAGGCAACAGCUCAUAUAAAAUCUCCAAAUAAAUCUGUAUUUACAUAUUUGAACAACUAAAAUAUUGAAAUGUAGAGAAAUAGCACAUACAAGAUUUUCUUAGUAGGCGUUGGUCAUGCGAUAUCAUAUCACGUUAUGAAAUCAGCGUUUGGACAUGCGAUUUUAUGCUGAUUCCAUCUCAUGAUUCCAUAUCAUGAGAUGUGAUUUCAUAUUCUCCAAAAACCAUGAUAUGGGAAUUCCAUAUCAUAACUUGAGAUAUUUUUAAUACAAAAAUUGAUCCACAAGUUUAUAUUUUGUUAAAACAACCUCAUAUUUAUAUCUACUAAUCAUUUAUUUCAUAUGUAAAUAAAAUUUAUAAUCACAUCAUUACUUUUUAAAAUUUAUUAUACUCACCGACAUAAAAUUUAUUAUUCUCACCAACAUAUAGUAACUUUAACUCACACUCAUACAAAGGAUUUUUAGCUCCAUACAAAGGAAUACGCUAUCAUUUGCAAGAUUACAGAAGAAGUGAAAGAGAGACUCAAAAUGUCAAAGAACUGUUUAAUUAUAGGCAUUCAUCUCUGCGCAAUGUGAUUGAACGGACUUUUGGAGCUUGAAAAAAUAGAUUUAGAAUACUGAAACAAGGCAUGAACCAUUAUGAUAUUGAUACACAAGUGAAAAUUGUCAUAACUUGUGCAGUGUUACAUAAUUAUUUGCGAGAAUACCAAAGGACUGAUGAAAUAUUUAUGGUGUAUGAGCGUGGAAAUAUAGUUGCGGAUGAUAUUGACCAACAAAUGGAUCAAAGUAAUAAUGUUGGUUCGUCUUCUCGGUCACAUGAUCGAGAAAUGCAAGUUCAACGUGAGGAAAUUGUUCGUACUAUGUGGGAGGAUUAUAUUAAAGACUAAUACACUACAAUUUAUGUUUUUUAUUGAAUAAAGUUUGAUGAAUUAAGUUAGAUGAAACAAUUACUUAAUUGGAGAACAAAUAGUUUUGUAAUAAUUUAUUAUGCGAUUUUAUAAAUUUUUGUUUAUUUGGUGAGAUUGAAUAAACAAUUGGGACUAUUUUAAUCGUUUUACAACUUAUGAGAUUCUUAUGUUUAUGAAAAAAUAUACCACACAAAAAUUUCAUAUCGCAUGUCUAAACAAAACUUCAAUUUCAACUCAUAAUUCCAUAUUAUGAUAUCAUAUCAUGAUUCCAUAUCAUGAUACCAUAUCAAAUGGCCAAACGAGCCCUUAGAUUCAACUACAAAUACUCUGUUUCUCUGGGCCUACAAUCAGCAAGGCCCAAUCAAUAUUUCUUGGGCAUAUUUCGGUUGUCUUUGAUUGGUUCAAGCAGCCUUCUUGAGUUUUGUGCCACGUUUAAUCAUUAAUACACUCCGUCUCAUUUUAUGUAAGGUAGUUUGACUCGGCAUGAAGUCUAAGAAAGAAAUGAAGACUUUUAAAACUUUUGGUAUAACUUGAAUGACAGAAAUUUGUCUUGCUAUAAAUCAUUUCAUUAAGGAUAAAAUAGAUAUUUUAAAGUAAAAUUGUUACUUAAUAUAAAAAUGUGUCAUUUUCUUUGGGACUGAUUAAAAAGGAAAGUAAGUCAUAUAAAUUGGGACAUAGGGAGUAACAUUUUGGGUAGGGAACAAGGGACAAGUACCCUUUAGACUAUGACCGAAAUCUCAGAGACACACCUUAACUAAACUAAGGUCGAUCUUAUUACCUCCGAACCCAUUUUUUUUUGUAAUUUUAUACAGCUUUUUUGGCUUAUGUGGCAUCCAAAUAUCUCCCACACGCCUCAACUAAGUGGAGUCACAAAGCGUGAUGCCACGUAAGUCAAAAGGUGUGUAAAAUUAUUUUUAAAAAUGAGUUCAAAAAGGUCAUAGGACCUUAGUGUAGUAAGAUAUGUCUCUUGAAUGUCGGUCAUAGUUUAGGGUCUAGUUGUGCCGGUAGAGAAACCAUCUUGGAAUAUUUUUUUCUUUUUUCUUUUAAUCAAACGUACGAUUUAUAAAUUACAGAAUUUUGAGUUAUAUAUUAUGGACCUUCAAAGAGAAUGUGAACUAUUUUUAAUACAAAUAUAAUUAUUUGAUUAAAAAUUAUUGAAUUAUGCUGAAUAGAUGAUCAAUAUUUGCUUUGUUCAUUUUUAUUUAUCAUAUGUUUUGCUUUUACUUAUUUGCUAUCAUAUUUCGAAAAUUAAAACGUGAACAGAGGGAGUAAUGUUUAUAGCUUGCCCCUGCGCAAAACAUGUCGGAAAACAAGGGGUAUAAAAUUCAAGCAUUUGACCAUUCCUAGAAUUCAUUAAGAGGUUGGGAAAUCAAACUUUGUUUUUGAUUGAUCACGUGUGUAAAUUGAACAAUAACCACUUCACUUUUUGACUCAAUUGAAUACUUUUAAUCUUUGACUUUUUUAAAUGGCAAGUCAUUAUUUUGAAAGUGACUUUUAGCUCGAUUUUGAUGUAAAUUGUUAAGGUUGAUUAUUUCAAAAGGUUUCCAUAACUCUUUCUGAUACGUACACUCGUGAUCGAAAGUUUGAUAUUGCACAAAAAUAAUUGCCUAAAAAUCUACAAUAUGAAAAAUGAUUAUUUGAGCCAAUAGAGAAAUUGAUAAAAGAGAGAGUAAAUGGAAAGGAAAGUUUUUUGUUUCCCUUUUGUAUGUUUAGCUCCCAUAAAUAGGAAAAUUGUUUACGUUUCCAUCCAUCAUAAGAUCGUAAGAAAUUAAUGUAAUGAAACAUUACUCUUAUUUUAAUGACAUUUGUCAUAAUGCAUAUAUUUUCUUAUGAGGUUAAGAAACUGUCACUUAAAUAAAUGUGAAUCAUUUAUGAAGAAGAAGUAACUCUCUCAUUCUACAUCUGUACAUACACAUUACGAUUUAAGAAUGUUUACAUAGAUUAGUUAUGAAGAAUUACAAGAUGUUAUUUAUUUUUUGUAUUAAAUAAAAAUAAAUAAUAUUCACAGGAUUAAAAUUUAGACGAAUUAAAUGAGUUGCAUUAAUAAAUUAAAAAAUAUUACUUUUGCCGAGAUGACAUGGGUCAAAAUGGCUAACAAUGGGUCAUAACUCAAUCUACCAACUCUUAUGAAUGUUUCUUUUUCUUCUUAUAAUUUAUAUUUAAUUACGAAAUUAAAUAAAACUCAUUUCCUUUUAUUAUGGCUAAAUCAUAUAAAAUAAAAAUACUUUGAUAAAAAUUUUCAUGUGUUAUUAUGAGAGAUAUAUUUAGCUUAAAUCACAAAAUUUAGAUGAACUGUAUUAGGCCAAUCAAAAUGUCAUUAUAAUAGUUUUUAGCAGCAAUAAAUAUAUACAUUAACGAAGAGUGUUAAAGUCUCUACCCGUAUUAGUUAAUUGUCAUUCAAUUUAAUGUUACUAUGAACUUUAGUGACAUUUAAAAGAGUGUUAAUUACCCAUAAAAAAUAUAUUUAACGGCAAUUAAACUAUUAUCAUUAAUUAAUUAUCAUUUAAAAUCAUUUUUGAUAUAGUGUAUACUGAAUGGUCAUUAAACCUCCCAAGUUUAGACUAAUACUUUUCGACGAACCAUGUCUUUUAUGGCAAAUUUUGCCAUACCAACAAAAAAUAAAGAGAUACAAUAAAAUGCCGACAGCCAUUAAUAUUUAAUAGUAAUUUAUGUAUCUAAUUUCUUAAGGAGGAUCUAAUGGGCAGGUCAACAACAGUUUACAAUAUAAAUUACCCCCAAAAUUAAAACGAAAGACCAUAUUGCAUGUUAGUGGUUGACGUAGGCUAUUACGUACGUAGGCAAAAAGAUAAAAAAGAGAAAAAAUAUGUCUCACAUUUAUUUAAAUUAUUUUUUUCUAAAUGAGAAUUCAACAUUAGUUUCUCUGUCCAACAAUAGUUGUCCUCUUUGUAAUUUAUUUAUUAAGAAAUGAAUAAAUAAUAGGGGUAAUAUGAGUAUAUUACCUUUGAAUAUAUUAAAUUUAAUUCUUUGAAAAAUGUAUUAGAUAUUGAAUAAUAUUUUAUGCCGGGUAAAAUAUACACAAACAGAUAAAUUAUCUCUUGAUUUUUCAAAGCGAACAAGUAUUGUUGGACAACUACAUUUAGUACAGUGGACAAGUAAAAAUGAACGGAAGGGAGUAAUUAAUUAACAAUUCUUGACUAAUUAGAACCAAAGUUGGACCAAAGAGUGGGAGAGUCCAAUAGUUAAAUUUCCCAGAAGUUACUUCAUCAAAGAAUUUAAUAUUUUCUUCAUCAAACGCCUUUUAUUAAUAACAUGAACGUACUACUAUAAAUAUAGAGCAAGGAUGCACCAUAUUUUCACACACAGCUACAAAAAUAUUAUAAUAUCAGAUUAUUAUCUCCAAAUUUGAGCAAAUUUUCAUCAAAAAUGGCAAGAGGUCUCAAUAUUUUUGCAGUGCUGAUCGCGGUCAAUGUCUUAUUAAGCUCUUCACUUUUCCUUAACAGCGAAGCUCGUCCUCUCAACGUUGUUAAUGUUGAUGGAUUAUAUUUCGAAGCAAUCAAGACAGGAGGACCGAGUUCGAGGGGAGAAGGACACAAAUACAGAGAUGCUUCAACUCUUGGAGGAGUCAAAAAUUCUGGACCUAGCCCUGGCAUGAACCAUUAAUUAAUUAUUAUUGGUUAAUCUAAGCUAGUAUUAUUAUUAAUAGUUUGCUGAUUAUUGAUUUAAUUACUUAAUUCAUUACUUGUAACAAUUUUUAUUUCUUCAUUUUUUUCGGUUUUAAGUAUUAUAAGUUGUAGUGCAUUGUACGAGAAUUUUGUAAAAAAAUUUCGUUUAAUUGAUUAUGGAUUUACAGGAAUAAAGUACUGGCCUCUAUAGAUGCAACUAAUAAUUCACACAAUAUCAAUUCUAUUGAAAAUUUGAAACUCAUAUGUUAUGGUGAAAGUGGAUGUUGACAGAUACAAUAUAAUUAAGCAAAUAUAUGAAGAGUUUUUACGUUAAAGUUUUAACAAAUGUUAGAAUUUUAAAUUCAAAAGUGCAAUGAAUUUAACGAUAAAUUUUUUAAAAGUGAACCCAAUGCAUGCAUCACGUUUAAAAUUAAUCUGCCUUUAUUUCCAGUUAUCAAAGCAAUGACAUUGGAGAAGGGUGCAUAAAUUUCCUAAGUAGUGACCCAAUGGAGAGAAUAUUGAUGUAUUGUUUGUCUCGUUAUAUAGUUUUGGACAAUAUCGUACUGCAUUUGACUAUUGCUGAAUUCGAUGAACUUCUAUGAAAAUGUGAAAUUAAAAUUAUCUGUUACUAUGAAUUUUAAGCCGGCAUGCAAUAUUCAUCACGUGAUUAAAAUUGAAUUAUUUUACUUUCACUUUUUUUGACUCACUUUGAAUACUACAUUUAGCAAGAUUAUUCUGCAUGCAUCAACUGGCUGCCCUGCCAAACAGAGAGACCAUACCAAAGAAAUAUCAUUCUUAAUUUUGACACAUAUAUUAUUAAAUUUUACUAAUUUAAGAGCUAGUAAUUAUUUAGAUACACUUUAGUUUGUAAUAUUACGAAUUUUACCUGAUUUUGGUGCGUCCAGAUACGUUCAGAUACAUAUAUCUCAAGAUACAUGGAGUCAAAAUUAUGUAUAAUUUAUUCUAGAUACACGGUAUGCAAGUGGAGUCGCAUGUAUAUGAAAUACAUAACAAAUUUCGCUCGUCUUUCUCCCUAGUUUAGUGUAUCUAGUAGCAAAAAUGCAUGCAUAUAGAUAUAUCUUGCUCAAUAUAUGUAGAAGUUCUUAAUUAGUGGUCAAACACGUAAUAUUAAAUUUCAUCGACAAAACUUAAUACCAAUUUAUCCAGAGGAUUCAGUGGGCAGGUCAAUAAGAGUUAACAGUAUAAAAUAUUCUACUCCUCUGUUUUUUUAUAAAACAAAGUUGAAUAUUUAUUUAUAAGAGAAGUAAUAAAUAAAGAAAUUAAUGGACAUUGCUACUAGUCCACUUUGCAUUUUUAGGGGUACCACCAAACCAUAUUACAUAGUGGCUGCAUAUUAAUGCUUUACGUAAGCUAGUAUUUAGUAUGCCAGCAAAUUAAACCAGAAAAAGUGAAAGUAUUUUUUUUUAAAAUGUUUAAAGGUUAAAGAAAAGUAAUGACCUUUUGCAUUCGUCGGCGAAUUUAAGAUUUUCAUUAAAGGGUGUCAAUUAUUAUAGUAAAAAUUAUAACAAGGAUAUUGUAGAGCCUUAACACAUGACCUCAACCUUCAACUUGUUUCAAGAUAUGUCAACAGUACUUGUAUAUAUAUAUAUAUAUAUAUUUCUUAAAACAAAAUUUGGCAUGUAUAUACAAUAUAAUUUUCCGGUGAAAGAGUGUCGCUUGACACCAAUUACCAAGGGUGGGUCCGGCCUGUUUGCAUCAAUUUCUAAACGCAAGUAGAACGUUAGGUAACUACGUCUCAUCUCAUAACUAAUAUAACCGAUUUUGUUAAUCAAAGUUAAAAUAUGUAUAUCACUUAACCAUGGUAAUUAAGAUAUAUAAAUCAUACGUACAUUGAUUUAGGCGGGGUAAAUACUCGAUGCAAGUAAGUUUUUUAACUAUUUUGGACUAGAAAUUAACAACCCACAUAUGACUAAUAAGAACUAAAUUGGGACUGGAAAAAGCGCAAAAAUUCCAAUAGUCAGCUUCACAGAAAUUGCUUCAAACACCAUCCCAUUCAAAAAAAAAUCAGACUCAAUUACAUGGCACUUUCUUAAUUCCUAGAAGGCUAGCUAUUAUUAUCUAUAGGAAAUUUUAUGGAAAAUACUGAAUCACGAAUAUUAGGGAAUUUUUCAAAGCUUGAGGCAUGUAUUCCUCAUCAGAAUUCAAUAAGCUCUUGUAGUUUAAAACUAGAAGCCAAAAAUUAUCAAAAAUUAAAUCAAAAUGAGCUUUUUUUCUAUGUUAUCUCAUAAAAAGAAGAAUUUUUAUGUGUUCUUUGUUUCUUUCUCAUCAUCCAAGAAAGGAACUUGAAUGCAUAUUUAUAUUAAAAAAACCUCUCAUUAGAAUGGUCAACACCAACUAUCAUAUUAAUGGCAAAUAAAGAGGAUUAAAGUUCAAUCAAGAAGCAAAAUAAUAUGUUACUCCCUCUGUUUUUAUCAUUGUACGUUUAUUUAAUGUUCUCUUGAGGUCAAAUUUUUAAUAAAUAAUAAAUAUACUUGUUGAAAGUCUAAAUCAAACACUAAUUCAUAUGAAAUUUUGCCAAGUGAAAUAAAAAAAUAUUUUCAUAUUCUCUUAUAGUCGGUAAAGACUAUAUUUCCAAUGAAAUACAUUAUAAUUUAUAUAUAUUGGAUGACUAUUUCAAAUUUUUGAGCUUGAAAUUGGAGCCAAUAUUUCAAUAUGAAUUAAUCCAAAAUCUGAAAAUUUAAUUUUUUUUACCUUAAUUUCCCUAUAUGUUUUAAUGGAAUGUUUUAUUAACUUUCCUUGAUAAAAUUUGUUGAGAUUCAAGACAAUUUUCUAUUUUUCUUCUCUAUCUUUUAUUGUUUGUUUGUUUGUUAAAAUUUCUUUUUGAAGAUCAGAUUUUAUAGAGUACAAUGGUGAAAAUAAUUAAUUAAUAUGAAAUAAUAGUGAAUAUGAAUUAAUCUAUUUUUCCAUUCAUUUUUACUUGUCAUUAUUUGGAUUUAACACCACUAAUAAAAAAAUAAUGAUUGACAUAACUAUUAACCAUAAUAUCUUUAUUAAUUGAUGUCUUGAAAAUUAAUUGGAAAAUAAAUAAUUAAUGUUAAGGGACAAAAUAUAGAAAAUUGAAUAACUUUCUCUGAAAAAAUUACUAUUAGUUAUUUGACUAUUUGAAAUAUUAACUCUGUAAAUACCUCACUGUAUUCACUGAUUUGGAGUGCAGAUUUGAGUGGAAGUUUUGGGAAGAAAACAGUGUUUUCAUAGAUCAAACCCACGAAGGUUUGAACCUGAAAUAUUCUACUUUGAUUUUGGGUGGUGGAGAAGUUUUAUUGCUCGUAGCUCCGAUUCGCUUCCAUAAAAAUAAAAGGUAAACCUUAGUAUUUUUCUCUAUUGUUUAAGCUUUAUAUGCGUCUAGAUUCUUAUAUUUGAAAUUUUCAAAUCUCGUUGUUUAUACUAAAAAUUUCUUGAUUUUGUGCUAGUCUAUGCUUUAAAAUUAGCCAUCAGUUUAAUCAUUAUGAUUCAUAAGAUCAACACUUAGUGUAAAUCGGCUCCAAUACAUGACUAUACCAAAUCUUACGCUAAAAAAGAAGAUUCUUUUUUAUACUAACUCCAGCACAUUAUACCAAAUUUUGCACGAAAAAAGAAUAUUCUCUUUAUAUUCUUCCUUUUCUUUAAUAUUAUAUUUUUUUAUUUCAUUUAUUUUCUUUUUUCAUAAAACAAAAAAAAAUCUAUUUUCACAUAUUCACCCUAUAAUAAUUUAUAUUCUUUUCUUAUAUAGUCAUUCAGUACAAAUUAUUAUGUACCAUAAUUUUUUACAUAAUAUACAUUGCUAGCUAAUAUUAUAAAUUAUAUGUAAUAAUGAAUAAUAUAAAUAAAAGUGAAAUUAUCGAAAUAUGGCAACUUUAAGAUCUAAAAAUUAAUAUCAUAAAAAUGAUUUAAGUGUAGUAGGAAUUUACAGAUAAAUGGGUCAAAGAUCCAAAAAUUUGAAUCUCCAAUUCGGGUACUUCAAAUUUCAAAACCUCCUCUUUAGAUUAUUUCUUCAUUAUUGUUAGUUAUUUUCAUUGUCAGAAUUUCAAAUUUUACAAAUAAAGCACCUAAGAUAUAUUAUCAUAAAAUUUCAUCGGUAGAAACUGAUUAUGAUUAUUUUUUAUUAAAAACAUAAGUUGAAGAAUUGGCUCUAUUUCUACUAAUAAUUCAUGUCAGGGCUAAGUUCAAAAUUCUCGAUUCCUUCAAGAGUAUCUAUUGAUUUGUGUCUGCUUCCUUUCGAAUUUGGUCCUGUUGUUUUUAUUGCCUCAACAUAUAAGUCUUUCGGAAAUUUAACAUUCAUAACUUUUUUCCUGAUUUGAUUCUUAGAAAAAUUAAGAAGACGAGCUUCACUAAUAUUAAAUAAAAAUAACGAGCUCAAAAAAAAAAAAUUGUGAUGAAAAUUGCGAAAAAAUUGAGACCUCUAGCCAUUUAGAUGAUCAUUAGAAAUGGCCAGAGGUCUCAAAUUAUUCACAAUUUUCAUUGUAAUUUCUUUCUUUUCGUGCUUGUUAUUUUUAUUUUAUAUCAGUGAAACUCGUUUUGAUCUUAAUUUACCUGAGAAUCAAAUCAUGAAAAAUGUCAUCAAUGUUGAAUUUCUAGAAGACUUAUAUGUUGAGGAAAAAAAAACAAGACCAAAUUUGAAGGAAAGCGGACACAAAUCAAAGGACGGUUUGACUCUCGGAGGAAUCAAGAAUUUUGACAUAGCCCUAGCAUCAAAUUUGUCACGACCCAAAUUCACAAGUCGUGAUGGCACCUAUGUUCCCAACCAAUAGGUAAGCCAACCCAACAUAUUUACCAAUUAUGAUUAACUAAUGAGGUAAAAAGGUAAACAACGAGUAAAAAUUCCAACACUAAGUUCUUUAUAAAUAUGAGAUGCGGAAAGCUAAAAUACUACCCAAGAAUUGGUGUCAUAAGUACAAGAGCCUCUAAAUAUGAUGCAAGUCUGAAACUAAAUGACAAUUCCAAACAUAAGGGAUAUUCUGUCUGAAUACUAAAAUAACAGAAUAAAUAAAAGGUAGAGGGAGGUGUGGGCCACGGAACAGCCAAGCAGCUCACCACAACUCCAAGAUACUCCAAGCUCGGACUCAAAAAGCUCCACGAGAUGUGCUCGUACUCGAAAUCGAAUCUGCACCACAAAAGAGUGCAACAAGUGUAGUAUGAGUACGAAACCACGUGUACCCAGUAUAUCUCAUAGANNNNNNNNNNNNNNNNNNNNNNNNNNNNNNNNNNNNNNNNNNNNNNNNNNNNNNNNNNNNNNNNNNNNNNNNNNNNNNNNNNNNNNNNNNNNNNNNNNNNNNNNNNNNNNNNNNNNNNNNNNNNNNNNNNNNNNNNNNNNNNNNNNNNNNNNNNNNNNNNNNNNNNNNNNNNNNNNNNNNNNNNNNNNNNNNNNNNNNNNNNNNNNNNNNNNNNNNNNNNNNNNNNNNNNNNNNNNNNNNNNNNNNNNNNNNNNNNNNNNNNNNNNNNNNNNNNNNNNNNNNNNNNNNNNNNNNNNNNNNNNNNNNNNNNNNNNNNNNNNNNNNNNNNNNNNNNNNNNNNNNNNNNNNNNNNNNNNNNNNNNNNNNNNNNNNNNNNNNNNNNNNNNNNNNNNNNNNNNNNNNNNNNNNNNNNNNNNNNNNNNNNNNNNNNNNNNNNNNNNNNNNNNNNNNNNNNNNNNNNNNNNNNNNNNNNNNNNNNNNNNNNNNNNNNNNNNNNNNNNNNNNNNNNNNNNNNNNNNNNNNNNNNNNNNNNNNNNNNNNNNNNNNNNNNNNNNNNNNNNNNNNNNNNNNNNNNNNNNNNNNNNNNNNNNNNNNNNNNNNNNNNNNNNNNNNNNNNNNNNNNNNNNNNNNNNNNNNNNNNNNNNNNNNNNNNNNNNNNNNNNNNNNNNNNNNNNNNNNNNNNNNNNNNNNNNNNNNNNNNNNNNNNNNNNNNNNNNNNNNNNNNNNNNNNNNNNNNNNNNNNNNNNNNNNNNNNNNNNNNNNNNNNNNNNNNNNNNNNNNNNNNNNNNNNNNNNNNNNNNNNNNNNNNNNNNNNNNNNNNNNNNNNNNNNNNNNNNNNNNNNNNNNNNNNNNNNNNNNNNNNNNNNNNNNNNNNNNNNNNNNNNNNNNNNNNNNNNNNNNNNNNNNNNNNNNNNNNNNNNNNNNNNNNNNNNNNNNNNNNNNNNNNNNNNNNNNNNNNNNNNNNNNNNNNNNNNNNNNNNNNNNNNNNNNNNNNNNNNNNNNNNNNNNNNNNNNNNNNNNNNNNNNNNNNNNNNNNNNNNNNNNNNNNNNNNNNNNNNNNNNNNNNNNNNNNNNNNNNNNNNNNNNNNNNNNNNNNNNNNNNNNNNNNNNNNNNNNNNNNNNNNNNNNNNNNNNNNNNNNNNNNNNNNNNNNNNNNNNNNNNNNNNNNNNNNNNNNNNNNNNNNNNNNNNNNNNNNNNNNNNNNNNNNNNNNNNNNNNNNNNNNNNNNNNNNNNNNNNNNNNNNNNNNNNNNNNNNNNNNNNNNNNNNNNNNNNNNNNNNNNNNNNNNNNNNNNNNNNNNNNNNNNNNNNNNNNNNNNNNNNNNNNNNNNNNNNNNNNNNNNNNNNNNNNNNNNNNNNNNNNNNNNNNNNNNNNNNNNNNNNNNNNNNUGGCACCUAUGUUCCCAACCAAUAGGUAAGCCAACCCAACAUAUUUACCAAUUAUGAUUAACUAAUGAGGUAAAAAGGUAAACAACGAGUAAAAAUUCCAACACUAAGUUCUUUAUAAAUAUGAGAUGCGGAAAGCUAAAAUACUACCCAAGAAUUGGUGUCAUAAGUACAAGAGCCUCUAAAUAUGAUGCAAGUCUGAAACUAAAAGACAAUUCCAAACAUAAGGGAUAUUCUGUUUGAAUACUAAAACAACAUAAUAAAUAAAAGGUAGAGGGAGGUGUGGGCCACGGAACAGCCAAGCAGCUCACCACAACUCCAAGAUACUCCAAGCUCGGACUCAAAAAGCUUCACGAGAUGUGCUCGUACUCGGAAUCGAAUCUGCACCACAAAAGAGUGCAACAAGUGUAGUAUGAGUACGAAACCACGUGUAUCCAGUAUAUCUCAUAGACCGACAACGAAGAAGUAGUGACAGAAGUUUAAAUAAUAAAAAUAAGUAUUUUACUUAAUACAAGUCUAUAGUACGCUUAUCAGUCGAGUUUAAUCAAAAUAAGGAUAAUCAAACUUCACAUAAUGUACAACCACCAAUAAAGCACGUAAUCAACAAUAAUAAAUGAUGUAAUGAGAUGCAGUGCAAUGUGACACCAUGAAAUGAUAUGCCUCAGAAUGCCAAGUACUCUCUCAACCGUAUAUACAUGAUACUCCUCGGAAAUACAUCGAGAGUUCNNNNNNNNNNNNNNNNNNNNNNNNNNNNNNNNNNNNNNNNNNNNNNNNNNNNNNNNNNNNNNNNNNNNNNNNNNNNNNNNNNNNNNNNNNNNNNNNNNNNNNNNNNNNNNNNNNNNNNNNNNNNNNNNNNNNNNNNNNNNNNNNNNNNNNNNNNNNNNNNNNNNNNNNNNNNNNNNNNNNNNNNNNNNNNNNNNNNNNNNNNNNNNNNNNNNNNNNNNNNNNNNNNNNNNNNNNNNNNNNNNNNNNNNNNNNNNNNNNNNNNNNNNNNNNNNNNNNNNNNNNNNNNNNNNNNNNNNNNNNNNNNNNNNNNNNNNNNNNNNNNNNNNNNNNNNNNNNNNNNNNNNNNNNNNNNNNNNNNNNNNNNNNNNNNNNNNNNNNNNNNNNNNNNNNNNNNNNNNNNNNNNNNNNNNNNNNNNNNNNNNNNNNNNNNNNNNNNNNNNNNNNNNNNNNNNNNNNNNNNNNNNNNNNNNNNNNNNNNNNNNNNNNNNNNNNNNNNNNNNNNNNCCAUAUUAUUAUAUGUCUAUCCUAGACCCAAAACUCACUCAUAUCUCAAGCUCCUAAUUAUUACCUAAAGAUUCCCCCUCCAUCCUAAUAAUUCCAGAAAAGGCACAACAUUGCAGCCUUUCAAUUUUCCAAUUUGGGACCAUCUUUUAUUUCCUAAUACCAAUCUAAUUGCUAACAAAAUAAUACUAAUAAUUAACCAACACAAACUUUGACCCAUUACUUCUUAUUACGCCAUCCUCAUUUAGUCUAUAAUUAAUAUAAAUUACUAAUAAUGCUAUUAAAUUAUAAUAUACCAAGAAUCAUAUUUGCUAAAUUUCAAGCCUAGUGUUAAGCCUCAAUCCCUCCAAGUAUCUCAAAUCCAAUGCUAAUCAUAUAAUAUACAUCUAAUAAUUUAUUACUUAUCUCAAUAUAUUAAAACUAGAUUUACCAUACGACAAAUAAUUAAUAACAAUUGAAUUUAACCACUGGUUACAAAAUCAGUGGCGACCCUCAGAAUCAAAAAGGUUUUGCCCUCCAUUAAUGCACCUCAAUAUGACCCCCNNNNNNNNNNNNNNNNNNNNNNNNNNNNNNNNNNNNNNNNNNNNNNNNNNNNNNNNNNNNNNNNNNNNNNNNNNNNNNNNNNNNNNNNNNNNNNNNNNNNNNNNNNNNNNNNNNNNNNNNNNNNNNNNNNNNNNNNNNNNNNNNNNNNNNNNNAAUUAACUCCUACCACUAUAUUCCAAUUAACUAACAUCUAUCCCUACCACUUUUGCACCAUACUAUCCCACUAAAUCUUAAGAAAAACAUAAUAUCUUUAUUAUAAAAAUUCAAUAACACAAUUUGGUUGAAAGUUUCACCUGAAAUACACGAUUCACGAGCAACUCUUCUCCCCAUGCCGCUGGUGCUCGUUUAUAUUUUUUUUUCUCCAGUUAUGAUACAAUACCCGUUAAUCCCUCUAACUUAAUUAAAUACAUGGCCAAGUGGUAACUAUUAAUUAUGAAUGUGACCCAUUAACUAUUCAACUAUAAUACUCAUUUAACAAAAAAUCAUCAACUAGAUACUCAUAGUUACCGAAUAGUUUAAAAUCCUCCUUUAAAUUUUUCGAAAAGAGUCAGAAUAGUCAUAGUUCUCAAAACGACCUAGCGGGUCGUUACAAAUCAUUAGUAGAAAUAAUAUUCCUUGGUCAUUUUUCGGCUCACACCUUUAAUAAAAAUAAUCAUAAUCAUUAUCAACAAAUAAAAUUUCAUGAUAAUAUAUCUUGGUGUUUAAUUAUUAAAAUUUAAUACUCUAUUUUAUAGUAGUAACUAUCUUUCAAUUAUAAGAGCUAAAAAUUGGUUAUUUGUGAAAUUUAUUCGAAACGAUUUAAUUUGUUCUUCAUUUAUGACUUUUUCUCAAUUAAAUAGUAGUACAUUAAAAUUAUUUAUGUUCUUUCAUUUAUUUUAUGUUUGAUGUAAACAUUAAAAUAUUUUUGCUUUUGAGUUUUCUUGAAUAAAGCAUUUCUAGUUCUUACAUCACAUAAUAUAUAUAUAUUGAUUUAGUUGGUGUAAAUAGUCGAUACGAGUAAGUUCUUAACCAUUUCAAAAUUUUGAGUUUGAAUUUGUAGCUUAACUUUCAAUAUGAAUUGAUCCAAAUUUGAAAAUUCAAUAUUUUUCACCUCAAUUUCCCUAUAUAUUUUAUAUAAAAAGAAUGUUUUAUUCUCCUCCUUGAUAAAAUUUGUUUAAGCUUCAAUUUUCAAGACAAUUUUUUAUUUAUUUUUUCUCUAUCUUUUAUUGUAACUUUCUUUUUUAAAAUCCAAUCUUAUAGAGUACAAUGCUGGGUGUAAUUAUUAAUAUAGGCAAUUACAAUAAACAAAAAUUAAUUAAUUAUUUCCUCCUUUCAUUUUACUUGUUAUAUCCUUUAAGAAACAGUGAUUAAUAUGACUUAUUUUAUCGCAAUAUUCAUAUUAAUUGAUAUCUUGGAAAAUAAUAUAAAGAAUAAAUAAUUAAUGAUAAGGGUAAAACAUGAAAAAAUAUUAUUAUUUCGAUAAGUUAAGAGUGACAAGCAAAAGUGAAAAUCUAUUUUUCAAAUAGUGAACAAGUAAAAAUGAAUGGAUAAGUACUUAGAUUUUCUUUAUUGGUAAAAUACACACUUUCAAGAUUAACAACUCUCAUGGGUAAAAUAGGAAUAAUAGUGUCAUUUGCAUUAAUUUUGAGAAAUGACAAAUAUUAAAGAAAAUUUAUUUUUUAGUAAGGACGACAUGUAAAUGAAAACGGAGGGAGUAAUUUUUUUCAUAUACAAAGAAAUAAACGGAUGUGAAAGAAAUUAUAUAUGGCUAUCUUUAAUGGAGUAUUAUGUAUAAUCUAUAUUUUAUAGGGAAAAAUUGAUACUUCCUUUGUCACAAUUUAUGUGGUGUUUUUCGUUUUUUGAGUCAAACAAUUUAAGUUUGACCAGAAAUGUGCGCAUGGAAUCUUCAAAUUUCUUGAAAUGAAAUUUAUAUAUUUGUAAACUACAUAAAAAGUAUUAUAAGUAACAUUAAUUGAUAAUUCAAAAUGUUUAAAAGAUCUAUGAAAAACUUUCGGUCAAAGAUAAAUUUCUUUGAAUCUCGAAAUCCGAAAAGUGUCAUAUAAAAUGGGACGGAGGGAGUAGCAUUGAUGAUGAAAGGAAAUAAAUAUGACUAUUUUUAAUAUUUUACAAAAAAUUAAGUAACUAUAAUUGAAAAUUUAAAAUAUAUAAAAGAUAUAAAAAAAAUUACGAUCAAAGAUUGAAAUGUUUAAAUCUCGAAAUUCAAAAAAUGUUACUCCAUCCGUCCUCUUUUAAUUGUCAUGUUGCAUUUUUCGAAAGUCAAUUUGACUAGCUUUCAAAGUUAAAUGAGAUUACAUUAGUUCAAUAUUUUAAACAAAAAUAAUAAAUAUUCAAAAACUAUAUGAAAAAUACUCUAAAUUGCAAUUUCUUGCAUAUCAAUAUGAUUAAAAAAUAUAUUUAAAAUAUUAAUCAAAGUUCUUAUUAUUUAACUCUAUAAAAAAAAAUCAUGACAAUUAAAAAUGAACGAAAAAAAUACAUUACAUCUAUCUAGAGAAUGAGUCUGGACCUAUUCAUAUCAUAGUAAAAUAUGGCACUUCCCUUAUGAAAUACACUAUGUUUUUUCUAGCAUCAUCUACUAUAAAUAGCAGGCAAAAUAGCACUACAUUUUCAUGCAACAUUCAAGCAAAUCUAUAUUAUAUUAUAAAGUCAUUUACAUUUCUCUCUUCUAAGUGGCUAGGGGUCUCAAUUUUUUUGCAAUUUUCAUCACAAUUUAUUUCUUUUUGAACUCGUUAUUUUUAUUUAAUAUUAGUGAAGCUCGUGCUCUUAAUUUCUCUAGAAAUCAAGUCAUGAAAAAUGUCAUCGACAUCAAAUUUAUGAAAGAAUUAUAUAUUGGGGGAAUAAAAACGACAGGACCAAGUCCGAAGGGAAGUGGACACCACAAACCAAUUCAUGCUUUGAUUCAUCGAGGAAUCAAGAAUUCUAGACCUAGCACUGGCAUGAAUCAUUAGUAGAAAUAGUGUUCCCUGGUUAUUUUUCAAUUUACGUCUUUGAUAAAAAAAAAAUACUUAUCAGAUUCUACAGAUAAAAUUUCAUAAUAGUAUCUUGGUGUUUUCUUAUAAAAUUUAGAACACUAGUUUCGUUAUUAUUUUUCAAUUGUAAGGGCUGAAAAGUGAUUAUUUAUGAAAUUUAUCCGAAUCAUUUUGAUUUGUUCUUCAUUUAUAAGUUUUUUACAUUUAAUUAGUACCUUAAAAUUAUUUAUGUUCUUUCAUUUGUGUUUUAAAAUAAGUCGGUACGGUAUUACUAUAUAUGUUAAUGUAAAAGUUAAAACAUUUUUACUUUUGGAAUUUCUUAGAUAAAGCAUUUCUUACGCUUUUAGUUUUCACAAUUUUUUUUUUCGAGCUCAUUAUUUUUAUUUUAUAUCAGUGAAACUCGUUUUCUUAAUCUUCAUGAGAAUCAAAUCAUGAAAAAUGUAAUCAACAUUAAAUUUGUGAGAGACUUAUAUGCUGAGGCAAAAAAAACAGCAAGACCAACUUCGAAGGGAAGCGGACACAAAUCAAUGGACGCUUUAACUCUCGGAGGAAUGAAGAAUUUUUGGACCUAGCCCUAGCAUGAAUCAUUAGUAGAAAUAGUAUUCUCUGACUAUUUUUUGACUCAUAUCUUUAAUUAAAAAAAAUGAUCAUUAUCAGAUUCUACAAAUGAAAUUUCUUGAUAAUAUAUUUUGGUGCUUAAUUAUCCGAACCGAUUAAAUUUUUUCUUCAUUUAUGACUUCUUCUCAUUUAAUUAGUACAUUAAAAUUAUUUAUGCUCUUUCAAUUAAAAUAAAUCGUUACAGUAUUACUAUAUAUGUUGAUGUAAAACUUAAAAUAUUGGAUAAUACUAAAAGACCAGAAAAUUUGGCCAGAAUUUGUCUAGAAAUUUAAAAAUCUAUAAUAUUUUUUUAAUUUUAAAAUAAACUGAUCUUUUUUCAUUUUUUAAUUAAAAAGUAUUAAAAUUAAAAGGAUAAAAAUGUUCAAAAAAAUAAAAUAACAUAGGUAAAAUACUAAUCUGGCCAAAUUUUGGCCUAAUCUCUGGCGAAAAGGAUUUUUCCUAAAAUAUUUUUGCUUUUGAGUUUUCUUGAAUAAAGCAUUUCUAGUUCUUACAUCACAGAAUUCAAUGGACUUCUAUGAAGUUGGGAACUCAACUAGAAUGUUACUCUCUCUAUUUACUUGUCCAUUUUUUACUUGAAACACAUAUUAAAAAAAUAUUAAUAAUUGAUAUAGAAAGUUUUCCAUUUCAUCUCUAUUAAUUGAUAGAAUUCCAAAAUUAAUUUACUCAUUAAAGAUGUGUUACAUUUUUAAUAAGCAUUAACUUUCUAAAUAAAUUGAGGGUUUAAUAAGUAAAAAAAAAUACUUUUCUUGAUUUGUCAAAAAAGACAAGUAAAAAGUCAAAAUUAGACAAGUAAAAAGGAAUAGAGGAGUAUUUAACUACGUCUCAUUACUAAUAAGUACUCCCUUCGUCCACUUUUAUCAUCAUAGUUUCUUUUUUAGAGUCAAACUAUAAGAAUUUUGAGUUACAUUUUAUGAUUUAUUUUUUCAUCAUAUUCAAAAAAAUUACAAUAUAUGGUACUUUUCAUAUAAUUUUUGAAUAUCUAUUUUUUUAGUUAAAGUGUCGAAUUAAUGUAAUCUAAUUUAGCUUUAAAAAUUAAUUAGAUUAACUUUUAAAAAGCGCAACAUAACAACUAAAAAUAAAUGAAGGGAAGACAUUUUAACUUUGAUUAACCAUGAUAAUUAUACUCGAUACUAGUAAGCUCUUAACCAUUUCCAAUUUUUGAGUUUGAAAUUGUAGCUAAAAUUUCAAUAUGAAUUGAUACAAAUUUGAAAAUUCAAUCUUUUCACCUCAAUUUCCCUAUAUAUUUUAUAUUAAAAGAAUGUUUUGUUCUCCUUCUUGAUAAAAUUUGUUUAAGCUUCAAUUUUCAAGACAAUGUUUUUUUUUUAAAAAAAAAUCCCUAUCUUUUAUUGUAACUGUGUUUGUUUGAGAUUUCAUUUUAAAAAUCAGUCUUAUAGAGUACAAUGGUGGGUGUAAUUUAUUAAUGUGAAGCAAUUACAACAAACAUAAAUUAAUUAUUUUUUCCGUUUAUUUUUGCUUGUUAUAUUUAGACUUGUCAUAUUUAUUAACAAACAAUGAUUAACAUGACUUAUUUUAUCGCAAUACCCUUAUUAAUUCAUAUCUUGGAGAAUAAUAUGAAGAAUAAAUAAUUAAUGAUAAGGGAAAAUCACGGAAACAAUAUUAUUAUUUUGAUAAGUUGAGAGUGGAAAUAAAACUGAAAUCUAUUUUUCAAAUAGUGAAUAAGUAAUGGGGAAAAAAUUAAUAGCAUCGCUAAUGAAAGGAAAUAAAUAUUUUAAUAUUUUGUAAAAAUUUUAAGUAACAAUAAUUACCAAUUUAAAAUAUAGAAAAGAUAUAAAAAAUUACGAUCAAAGAUAGAAAUGUUUAAAUUUCGAAAUUCAAAAAAUGUUACUCCUUCCGUUCAUUUUUAAUUGUCAUGUUGCGUUUUUCGAAAGUUGAUUUGACUAAUUUCCAAAGUUAAAUUAGAUUCUAUUAAUUUGAUAUUUAAACAAAAAAGUUAAAUAUUUAAAAACUAUAUGAAAAAUACUCUAAAUUGUAUUUUUUUACAAAUCAAUAUGAUGAAAAAGUACAUAUAAAAUAUUAAUCAAAAUUCUUAUCAUUUGACUUAAAAAAGAAAAUCUUGACUAUUAAAAGUAGACGAGGAAAAUUUUCAUAGCAUAGUAAAACAUGGCACAUCCCUUUUGAUAUAUGGCACUUACCUUUUGAUAUAUGGCACUUCCCUUGUGAAAUAUGGCACUUCCCUUCUGAAAUACACUAUGUUUUUUCUAGCAUCAUCUACUAUAAAUAGCAGGCAAAAUAGCACUACAUUUUCAUGCAACAUUCAAGCAAAACUAUAUCAUAGUAUAAAGUCAUUUACAUUUCUCACGUCUAAAUGGCUAGAGGUCUCAAUUUUUUGCAAUUUUCAUCACAAUUUAUUUCUUUUUGCUCUCGCUAUUUUUAUUUAAUAUUAGUGAAGCUCGUGCUCUUAAUUUCCCUAGAAAUCAAGUCAUGAAAAGUGUCAUCGACAUCAAAUUUAUGAAAGAAUUAUAUGUUGAGGGAAUAAAAACAGCAGGACCAAGUCCGAAGGGAAGUGGACACCACAAACCAAUUCAUGCUUUGAUUCAUGGAGGAAUCAAGAAUUCUAGACCUAGCACUGGCAUGAAUCAUUAGUAGAAACAGUGUUCCCUGGUUAUUUUUCAACUUACGUCUUUGAUAAAAAAAAAUAAUCAUUAUCAGAUUCUACAGAUGAAAUUUCAUGAUAGUAUCUUGGUGUUUUAUUGUAAAAUUUAGAACACUAGUUUCGUUAUUAUUUUUCAAUUGUAAGGGCUGAAAAGUGAUUAUUUAUGAAAUUUAUCCGAAUCAUUUUGAUUUGUUCUUCAUUUAUGAGUUUUUUCAUUUAAUUAGUACCUUAAAAUUAUUUAUGUUCCUUCAUUUAUGUUUAUGUUUUAAAAUUAGUCGUUACCGUAUUACUAUAUGUUGAUGUAGAAGUUAAAACAUUUUUACUUUUGGAUUUCUUGAAUAAUUUUAUAUAUAUAAUGUUUUACCACCAUAAUUAGAAAUUAUAAGAAAGAUUAUCAAAAUAAGAUAACUUAUUAUGAGGAGUACUAUAUAGUAUGUUAAUUCAAAGUCAAUUUAAUUGUUUAAAUUCAAAAAAUUCCGAUAGUAAAAAAAGAAGAGAAAAUUAAAAAGAAUGACCCCUCGGUCAUUGUCUUGUAUUAACCAAAAAUGGCCCAAUAAUUAUUAAGUUACUAAAAAUGAGCAAUUUUUCGUCUCCACUCUUAUUUUCAUCUCUUACACUUGUAAUUUUAUUUUAAAAAAAUAUAUUUGUUCUGCUAAAUUUGUUAUCCCAUUUGUUAAAGAAUGACAAAAGUCCACAUCGGUGGUUAAUGAGAUGGAUGGACUCCUUAUAAGGCUUGGGCAAUCCUCCUCCCUUUGAGCUAGCUUUUGGGGUGUGUGUUAGACCCAAGACCUAGUUUAACACACAUUAAAUUCAUAUUAGAAUCGAUACCCUUUUUUUCCGCGGGCCUUCAUUUGAUUGUUGUGUAUAGACUAUAGUAAUGUGGAUAUCUUGUUUAUGCAUCACAUAUACAUAGUUAUACGCUAUCUAUAUAAUAUAGAUACAUUAUAUAAUGAUGUAUAAAUAUUAUAUAAACAAUAUAUAUGAAUAUAUUAUAUAUGUAUCACAGUUAUACAUUAUAGAUAUAUGACAUAUAUUUGGUCCAUUAACUGGGAAAAAAAUUAAUUGGGCAGUAAGAAUCCCUCCAAAAAAAACUAUACAUUAUUAUUGCGCAAAAAUUAAACUCAUUUUCCAAUAGCAUGUGUAGUCGUAGCUAUUAAACUGUUUAUUCUGAAAAGAAACAAAAGAAAGGGUAGGCCAAAUGGGGUAAAACUGCCAUCUUAUUACGUACGAAUAUAUUUUGUAGGGGACUAUUACAAAUUUACAUCAUGAAUAUAUAUAUUUUGGCAAAUGAUGGCACUUUAGUGUUUAAAUUUAAAAUGAGUUUUAUCACAAUCAUCGAUAUAUACAACUUAAUUUGACUUUUAUCACAUUUGUAGAUAUAAGCAACAACUCUUUCGCGUGAUUCGAAUAUACAAACAAUGUUAAGUGCUCUUUUUCUAAUGAUGGAGCUAGCUAUUUUAAGCAAAUGUAAUCUACCUGUCGACUAAAAUGGCUAGAGGAAGAAUAAUUUCUCUAAAUACUUCAUCUGAUCAAUUAUUAUUACUCAUUGUUCUUUGUUCUUCAUUGUUCAAGAAUAACGAAGCUUGUCCGCUUCGUUCUGCGGAUAAUACGACGAACCUAUGGCUAUGGAGGAAAUCAAUGAAAGCAACUCUAGUCCAAGCCCAUUCUUAAAUUUGUUAAUCAUGAAUUUGGUAUCUUCAAAAGGAAGCAUAAAAAAUUCAAAGAAAUUUCGAUUAAUUUAAUUCGGUUUGCUAUUUUCACAAACAUUAGGAAGAGGAAAAAAAAUGAAUUGUAUCAGAAUUGGGAAUUGAAUCGGAAAUCUAUGGAGUAAAUUGCGCAAUAAUGAAAGAAGCUAUUGGAAAAUUGUAUGGAAAUAUCAAUAUUACGCCGAUGAGGAGAGGAUUCUUCUGUCUAUAAAGAGUACUUCUACUCAUCAGAAAAAAUUAUUUGUUCUUUCUCUUGAAGGCUAGUUAACCUUGAUCAGAAACUUUUAGCAGUGGUGGUGCCAUCACUUAUAAUGAAGGUUUUGUAAUAGGUAUAAAAUAAAAUAAAAGAGAAAAAAAUACUAGUAAAAAUAAUUAUAAAACUUAUUGUAUUUAUAUGUGGCGUUGACAUGGCGCUGACGUGGCUUGCACAUGUAUUACGCCACAAAAGACAUAAUUGAUUAUAAAAUUUUAGGGUGAAUUUAAUUAUACUUUUAAACCGUUUAGGGAGGUGGUAGGAUCCCUAAUGUAUAGUUGAAAAUCGUUCGGAGCUAUUUGACCAUUUUCUCAUUGUCCCUCAUUGGUUAUGUUUCUUAUCUAUUAGACUAGUCUUUUGAGUCCAGCUUUCUUGGACCCUGAUUGAUCUAUACAACAUUAAUGAUGUUAGAGUUAAUCAAUUCAUACAUGGCGUCAUAAUUUGGAGUGAUACCAAUAAAAUAUUAUCACGUAUUUAAACAAGGUAGCACACAAUUCAAGCUGAUUAAAGAUCAAUCAAAGAUUUUUAAAAUUUUAAAAUAACGUAUCUUAUAAUUUAAUACAAUUUUGAAUCAAACUUUCCUGGACCUUGAUCUAUAUAAAAUUAAUGAUGUUAGAGCUAAACGAUUCACGCCAUAAUUCAUAGUACCAAUCAAAAAAUAUUAUCACGUGUUUAAAUAAAGAAACACACACAUCAAACUAAUUAACGAUCAAUCAAAUAUCUCUAGGUUUCCAAAAUGACAUAUCUUAUAAGUUAUUACUCCCUCCGUCCCAUUUUAUAUGUCAUCCCUUUCUAUAAAUAGUUGGUCCAUAAUACAUGUCAUUUCAUAAAAUCAAUGCAUAAAUUGUCAUAUUCUUUCUUUUUUACCCUUGUGAGUUAUUAGCUUUGAAAAUAUGCAUUUGACCAACUUAAAAAAACUAAGUAAGUGAUUCAUGUUCAUUGGUUAAAUGAAUUAAUCAAAAUAAAUUAAUUCAUAUUCAUUAAUUGAAAACUUGAGUUCCAAAAAAAUUAAAUAAGAGUAGAAGGGUAAAGUUGCAUCAUUUUUUAAUGCAAGUACAAAGUAAAAAUGUAACAUAUAAAAUAGUAUGGAUGGAGUACAAUUAUAUCACUCAAACUUUAACGAUAAGUUUAAUAACUUACGUGAACCAAUCAACCAAAUUAAAAAUCACAUUGGUAAAGAAAAAAUUAAGAUACUCAUUUGGACACAACAAAAAGGGUAAUAAAUUUACCACUCUUCCUAAAAAAAACAAAUGUAUAUAUAUAAAAACCUUUUCUACAGCAAUUGGCUCAAGAAGAAAGUGCCAAUUUUGGGUUCCAGUAAGCAGAGUGCCGCCAUAUCAUCAUCUUCUCCGCCACCUGACCGGUACACUCCUUUUUCUUGAUUUUCCGAUUGAAAAAGCUCAACUGUAUAUAAAUAUUGAACUCUUCCCUUUAUGUAAUUUACCCUUUAAUUUUAAUUUGUUGUACAGAAAUGGAGAGCUCAAAUGCUGCUGGAGUAACGGAAAAUUCCACCAUCGGCUCCGAUGAAGGCGGCGCCUCCACCACCCAUGAUACUGACAUUGACAUGGCUGAUGUUAAAGCUGAGCCUGUUGACUAUCCAUCGCCUCCUGCAUCCCGUUUUCGAGAAGGUGAAAAAGUUCUUGCCUUUCAUAGCCUACAACUCUAUGAAGCUAAGGUACAGCAUUCCUACCCUUGCUAAGCUUGAACUUUUUUUUUUUGCAUUUGGGUAAAAAGAUUACUUUUUUAUUUGAUUUGUAUGAUUUCAAUCAUUUGAGUAGAAAUUUGAUCGAGUGGGUAAUUUUAAUAGCUUAGUUGGUUGUCUACCUGUACUUUGACUGUGUUGGUGAGGUUCAAUUCGCACCUUGUGAUCCACUCCACCAUUUCUUAUAUCCCCAAUUUAAAGAAGAAAAAAGAGUAGUCUUUUCCUGGUGUAUUCUUGUCUUAUGGUUUAUGUUAAAAAUUGAGAUGAUAAGGAAUACAUACGGCUAUAUAUAAGAUCACAAGGGAGAUGAUUAAGGUAGAUACAAGGAUUUACCGUUAGAAUUCAAAAUCUCUAGAAAGCAACGGUCGUUAAGUAAAAGUGCUAAUAGUGGCGGAGUCAGGAUUUACCGAAGCAAUGGUCGUUAAUUAAAAGUACUAAUAGUGGCGUAGUCGGGGUUUACCGUUAGAAUUCAAAAUCUCUAGAAAGCAACGGUCGUUAAGUAAAAGUACUAAUAGUGGCGGAGUCAGGAUUUUCAAAAUGUAAAAAGGUAAACAUAGGGGAUUCAACAUUAACUAUAAUACAUAAAAAAUAUUUUUGACCCCAUAUAUAAGUGUAGUUAGUUGACGAAUUCCCUUGCGCUACUCUAGCUCCGCCUCUGAGUGCUAACUUGACUAAAAUCUAUUCUCAACUAAUAGAUAUGGUCUGUAUAGAUUUUUUCUUCCAUUGUGCCCUACUUUUGCAAAGUUUAUAUGGAUUGCAAGGGAUUGUAGGUCAUUCGAGACGACUUCCUUUCCAAUUAUGUUAGGUCUACCUCGUUCCCUUUUAACAUCUCACUAACCAUGGGUUUACAUCUAUGGACGGAUGAUGGGACCAUCUCAAGUGACCUUCUCUCAUUUUAUCAUCGACGUGUGCUAAUUGAACCUUUUCGUGAAUGUGAUCAUUUCUAAUCUUGGCUAGACUUUAUGGCCGCACAUCCAUUGUAGUAUCCACAUUUUGCAACACUCAGUUUGUGGUUGUGUUGAACUUUAAGGAACCAACAUUCACCCUUAUAUAAGUUGUUGGUUUUAUAACUGUUCUAUAGAACUUACAUUUCACUUUAAUAUACAACCACUCGAUUUUAAUUCACUAUCAUUCCAUUUCUUGUAAAGGAAAUAUUUUAAAAUUGAUGAAUCUAGUUUUGGAUUGAUCUGCUACGGGCACAACCUCCUUGCCAUCUGCAUUGAGAAUCAUUAAUGUCGUAAUUAAUUUUGAUUUUCUAUACCCACUGGAGUCUGACUCAUCCUAGAAGGAAUUGCCUAAUUUCAAUAUGUCAUAGAACGCUUAAAAUCAAAUGACCAUAAAUUAUGUUGUUGUGAAGAGAAUUUGGUGAUAAGAAAAAUAUCUUCUAAAGUAGAAACUAAUUUAAUUUAGAGAGGAAGUCAUUGAUCAUGUGGAUUGCGAAGGGAUUCGGUUCAUGAAUCAUGUUGCUAGUAUCUAGAUCUAACCUUUCCAGAUGAUUUUUGUUUUCUUCGUGUAAAACUUCCAGUCUAUAAUUCUGUCUGAUCAGUAAAAGUCUAAAUAUUAGUUAAUCUUAUGCUUAAUGCCAAUUUUCCCCAUGAAUUUCGUACUCAUCUACUGCUUUUGAAUUUUUCUUCUUCUUUUUUCUGGGUGAGAAGGUUCAAAAAGCUGUGUAUCACAUGAGGGAGUGGAGAUAUUUUGUUCAUUAUCUUGUAAGUAUCAGCCCCCCAGCUCUAUGAUAUUUUAAAAAUUCCAUUUUUAACAGUAAACAUUGUUGUCAUCCAUCUUCUGUUUAGUUGGUAGAGAGUACUUCCUCAUGGAUAUGAAUCUGUUGCAUGGGAGCCAAAAAAGGUGACUGUUUAGAUAUGUGCUUAACCAAUGCUUCUUUUUCCUUUUUCAGGGUUGGAACAAAAGGUGAGUACAUCUUUCAAGCUUUUCCUCAAGCAGAAGUUUAAUUCUAAAUAAAAUGCUUGUUGGCGGCAAGUUUUCAAAUUGACGUGCAUUUGAUUGUUCGAUAAGUUCCAUAAUCAUAUGGCUCUUUAAAGUCAAUUGGGGUAGUCUCUAGCCUUUCCCUCACACUAGUUCACCUUUCAUUAAACUGACUCAAGUUCCUUCUUUAUAAACGGUUGACCUGCUUCUGAUGAUUCCAUCCUUUCUUAAAAGUUUACUGAAAUCAGAUGUUUUUUCGAUGCUUCUAGCCUGUAUUGGUGACUGUAAGUAGUGAUUUGGUUUAUAUCUGGUCGAGUAUAGAGUGGUUUAUUUGAUUUACUUUCUGUGCAUUUCAUCAAGGAAGGCAUUUAUCUUUUUGAUUUCUCUUUCACUUUUUAACAGCUGGGAUGAAUGGGUGGGCAUAGAUCGAUUAAUGAAACACACACAAGAGAAUGUUCAGAAGCAGCAGGAGCUUAAGAAAAAACAGGAUACAGAUAAAAAUGAGAAGGCUGCACGUGGAUCACAAACGAAAACAAAAGGUUCUACAGGUUAGAUCACUUGUACUCUACUGAAUUGGCUAUAGGGUGGUUUCCUUCUUGCCCUAUCCGUGAAAAGAUCCCCUCUGCUGGUCUACCCUCUCCCCUCCUCUUUUCAUGGCGGAUGGGCUGGGUUACUUCUAUUUUUCUGUGAUUAGAAGAGUCCAUCUGUUGGCUUUCAAAGAAGACUAUUUUCUAUAGAUGACAAAAGUAUUCUUUUCAUGCUCCAGGUGUUAAUUCAUUUGCACAGGUUUUACAUCUUUGAUCUGAAAUAUUCCUAUUAUGAUGUGUUCAAUAGGAUUUUCAGAAUUCAUGCUUUUUCUGCUGUUAUCUUGUUUUUCUCUAUGCUUCUUUAGUAGUCUAUUUCCUUCUUAAAUCUGUGAAAUUUAUAAUGUACUUGAUUUCAUUCAGUUAUUGUUUGAUUACAGGGAGAAGAGGCAGAAAGCGAAAGAGUGAUAUUCCGAAGGUACAUUUGUGUUCUAUUUUACCUUUUCUGUGCUAAAAAUCGGAUGCUUAUUCAGGUUUCUGUUGCAAUAAUGAAGGUAGAGUCCUUAUUUUAAUUACACUUUUUUCUGUAAAAAUAUGUCCAUUUGGUUUCCUUGUCCCUUUAGGUCUCUUUGUGUGUCUUCUUGAUCGAUUUAGAUGUUACUUGUUAUAUUAUAAUCUAGCUGUUUGUCAGGACAAGGAUGGUCCUCCUCCAGAAAAGCUUGUCAAUAUCCAAAUACCGCCACAAUUGAAGAAACAGCUGAUUGAUGAUUGUGAAUUUGUCAACCACUUGGGCAAGGUAAGGACAUGAUAAAUGCUCUAACUUUCUGAUUGUCUCCUUAAAACAUUGAUAGGAUAUCUACUACGCCAUGUUGCUUAAUUACUUUUCAUGAAAAAUCUCCAUAUUCUCAAACCUGCUCUCUUUUGUUAAUGUACUUGUAGUAGUUUGGUGUAGACUGGGAGUUCAUUUUUUCCUUCUUUAUUUUAAGUUAUAAAAUUGAGCAUUUGCAGUUUACUCUACGAACUGUGUCUGUUAAACUCAUAUCUCAUUUCUUUUGUUUUGUGCUUUGAGUCAAUUCAUAAUGUAGACUAAGUUGUACACUGCUUUCUUAAUUUUACUUAAUUGCUUGAUGAGAAGGCGAAUUUAGAAUCACUGUCCAGGAAAAAAGGAGGAAUAUGUGAUUGAUUACACUCUCUCAUCUCCAAAACGCUUUUACUUUCUUUUUCUUAAUGCAAAACAUCUGAUAUCUUUCAAUAAAUUGUGAAGUAAUUCUACUCCAAUAAUUCAAGCUAAUUUGGUGAUUAUUUUCCUUUCUCCGACAAUACAAACUAAUAGACUGGUUCUGCUUUAUUAUUUCAAACUUGACAAGUACUCCCUUUGUUUAGAACUCUACUGUCACAUUUGAAACUAAAAAUCAAACAUCUCCCUAUUUCAACGUCUCUAAUGGCUUAUCAAACGUUUUAGUAGCAAUGCGUAUUGUUAUCACUUAUAAAAGUAGGUCAUUUUCUUGUGGAAUGAAAGCAGCAGAUGCUCAUUAACAAACUUUUUUCAGAACUUCGUUGCGAUUCAACCCUUUAUGCUGUAGGUAAAAGAUCAAUUAUACAUGAAGAAGAGAGUAACAAUGUCUUUGAUAUGACACUAUUGCUAGCAGUUAUUUCCAUUGUCACCUUUUUGUAGUUUCAAGUUGGGGCUAAAUGAGAUAGUUGACUUGUAAUUAAAGUUUUCAGAAGAGUUUUUGUAGGUCUAAAGCAUAAAGUUGAGCACUUCAUCUAGGUUUAUACUGAGAUAGAUAUUUAGCUUAGAUGGCAUGACCUAGAGAAGGAGAAAUAUCCUAUUUUAUCCUUCUCAGAACUCUCAUUCUGGUGGGAAGGAUGUCAUAUUCUGAAAAUAGAAGUUUUUAUUACUGAAACCUAAAGGAAGAUGUUUUUGACCUAACUUGAAUUCACAUCUUACAUGUCAUAUACACUCUGCUUUCUUUUCUGUUCAAAUUUGUGGAUCUGGUGUGUCUUGUUUCUCCGUCUUUUAUUGGGAUUUGGGGGGAUAAUUGACGUCUCUCUAUCCUGUUAAUUUGAUUGAGUUGAGGGGACAAUUUUAUGCAGCUUGUCAGACUUCCUCGUUCUCCAAAUGUGGAUGAAAUACUACAGAAAUAUCAUGACUAUCGGCUGAAAAAGGAUGGACUGUAAGUUCUCUAUCAUCUAUAUCCACUUGAAUGUUUCUCUAAUUAAUUGAUAGGUUACUAUUUUAUUUCCUUUCAUUUCAUUAAAUCUUACCUUUUUAGAAUCUCUGUCCUGUUUAUAAUAAUAGUAGAAGAGAGGGGCACUAUUUUAUGGUCUAGAAAAUUAUCUCCUUGAACUUGAUUUAUCAAUAAAAAAUGCUUUCAUUGUUGCAUUCUAAGUCGAUCUGUGAGUUGAACUGCAAAGUUUCUGUGUCUUAUCUCUCGUGGAUUUGUUUUGACAACUAACUCUUAGGAAUAUCUAUUUAAUUUUGAUGACCACCUAUUAUCUGCUUCAUUUCUUUCCCUUAUCUUAUGAAGAGGAAGAAUCUGCUGAAUUUUCUUCUUAGCUUUUCUAAUUUAUUGAUCUGUUGAGUAGCAUUUUUUUUUGGUGAAGCUCUUGUGUAGUAUUGAUUCCAUUCAUCAAGUAUUAUAAGUUUAAUGACUAGUAAAUUAAAUUUUAACUUAAUUGAUUCUGGUGGGUGAAGGAUAUCUGAGUCUGUUGGAGAGAUUCUUAAUGGUUUGCAAUGCUACUUCAACAAAGCACUUCCUGCUAUGCUCCUUUACAAAAACGAGCGGGAACAGUUCGAAGAAUCGAUUAAAGAAGAUGUCUCACCUUCUUCUGUGUAUGGAGCUGAGCAUUUAUUACGCCUUUUUGGUAUGUUCCAUUUUAAGCAAAUUUUCACGCAGUUCGAUGUUGCAUGUCUUAAUAUGUAACUGUUUAUUUUUCGUAUUAUAUGUUUGAAACAUAGCUACCUAUAUUUGUUGACUUCAAAGUCUUCAUUACUGGGUGUGUAAUUAGCUAAAGUUUGCUGUUUGGUGACUUUGUUCCAUCUGGCUAAUGGCUAUGCAACUUUCAUCCAGCUAGGAGAACCUUUUAUUUUCAUCUAAUCCCUCUUUGGAUAAGUUACAGGGAGUAACCACAAAUAUUUGUAGAUUAUUUAUUUGGCUACACGGAGCCAUAGGUGGUCAAGACUAAAUCCGGUGUCAAGAUGUAAAAUAAUUUCUUUUUGACUUUUGCAUCAGAAUUCAAUGUUGCAGAGGCACAGAGUAGUAAGCAGCCUUAGUAUAUUAUACAUUAAGUGAGUGAGACAGAUGCUUGUGAAUGGUUUUGCCGAGUUUCAAUGUCACUUCAUGAUUGUGAAGUUGAUUUUAGUUUAAACUUGACUUUGACAUCCAACAUUGAUAUAUACCUUUAACAGCCACUUCUUUUGUUGUCUGCAGUUAAGUUGCCGGAGAUUCUGUUCUAUGCAAGUAUUGAAGAUGAGACAUUGACAGAGUUGAAGCAGAAGUUGCAAGACUUUCUCAGGUUUAGAUAUCUUAUGUUUCUGACAUGGUGACACGGAUUUUCUACCCUCUCCAGACCCCACUUGUUGUUGAUGAUUUUAGGACUUUAGGAAUGCUUAAAGAGAAUAUGAGAAGUGUGUAUGUCUACCUAAAAUAAUGAAUGGAAAAAUCUCCUCUUCAUGAUAAGAAGGUGAAGGCUUAUCAAUUGAAAUCAUUAGUUCAUAAAUUAAGACCUUCAAUACCGAUUUCCUCAAGCCAUCAUCAGUCAAGGCAUCAAUACGAGAAUUUCAAUCAUCAUUCUUAGAAUUCCCAUUAAUUAACUCAUGAUAUGAUUGAUUCAUAGUAUUGAUCAUCUACCAUGUCCUCCGGAAUAUUCAAAUUCAGCUUCCCGGAGAUUAUUUAGGAUAGAGGAAUUAGUGUGAUCGAUGGGCAAUUUGUGGGUCUCUUUCGAUUUCAUACACACAGUCACAAUUCAGACUUUGAUAUUGCUACAGCAAAUACUGGUCAUAGUUGAGCGGAAGACAUCAUCCCGUUUCAUCUUUGGCCAAUGGUGAUCAGGAUGAUUCCCUUGGCAGUGCAUCAUAUUUUGUCCUUGUUCCAACCAUUCAAUGCUCCCCUUCUAAUUCCUAGGAAUUCAGUUAUACCUUGUUUUACCCCUUCUAAUUCCUAGGAAGAUUUGAUCAACUCUAUCAAUCUAUUCAAGUAACUCCUGUAGUAUGUAGAUGCCUAAAAGAAAGAAAGAUCGCCUUUAGCUAGAACUCCCUGGAGUAACUUUGUUCUCGACAUUGACUUUCUAUAUCAAAUGUGGAUUACCAUGAUUAGUAGGUAACUUCGUGAGUUAAAUCUCAUUACUCCAUAGCCAAUUGUACAAGUCCAAUUCUUUCGUAUUCUAACAACUGAUAUCUUAUUUUGGAAUCGCGUGCUGAUAAUGGAUGUUUGUUGCUCAUUUUAUAUGUAGUUAUUACAUUCCAGCGAAUAAUCUAACUUAUCUUCCUUCCUUCCAGAUUCCUGCAGAAGAAUCAAAGUGCAUUUUUCCUGUCGACGUACCAUUCUGCAGACGAUUCUGGUGUGGCUGUCAUGACAGAGGAAAACUGAGUUGGAACCUUUCUUGUUCUAGUGUAUAUACUUCUGUAUCACACCUGGUGAUGUAUAUUCUCUGGUUUCCAGUGUACAACUUUAUGUUGUAUUACUAGGCAUGUAACUAGUAAUUUUUGCUACUUAUUGCCUGUUGCAGUGGCUAUGCCGCUAUGUUCUGGCUCUUGAAAACAGUUAUCUAAGUACCCAAACUAUAUUUUAUAUUAGAUAGGAGAAAGAAAUGUGUUUGUUGACGCUAUUUGAGAUUUCUACCUCUUUUUCUUUGUAUCCAGGUUUUAAUCAGUAAACACUUCAACUCGUCUUCGUUGUGUCAGUCGAACACUUCAACUUAUAAAAUGAUUUUCUAGACACUCUUACAAUUUAUGUGUUGUUGGGUGUUCACGACACACAAUAGGGAUGAGUUAGUGUUUAGUUGUCAGUUGAGAUCAACUUGAGAUUUUUGCAUUCUCAAAGUUGGAGUGCUUACUUGUCAUCUGUGGUUGAGGCUAAUAGCCUGUUUGACAUUGCUGCUAAAAACUGUUUAUUUUUAGAAGUGUUUUUUUAAAAAUAGCUUUUUUGAAAAGGUUUUUAAAAAAAACAAUUUCUAUUUGACAAUUUCAUUUGAAAAGUGUUUUUGAUAAGCGAUUUGUGUUUGACUAUCUUUUUUACGAAAAAGGGCAAGUAUCAAUGUAUUUUAAGAUUAUUUUGUAGAGAGAAACUAUUUUAAAUAUCUUAUACAUAACUUUAAUUAAAUUAAAUUGUACAUAUUCAAAUUAUUAAUCAAUAUUAUACAUAGAUAAAUAAAUAAAUAAAAUAUUAAUAUAAUGUUAACAUGAUGAAUUAAAUAAAAAUAAAAUAAAAAGUUUAUCAUAUAAAAAUAAAAAUAAAAAUAAAAUUCUUGAAUGAAACUUAUGAAAUAUGUUAAUUAAUUAAUAAGAGAUAUAUUGGUAAAUAUGUAACUAUGUAAGGGAUAUUUUAGUCUUCAAAAAAAUAAUUUUCUGCUUCUGUUUUUUUUAAGAAACAAUUUUUUUUAGCUUAUUUCUAACCGCAUAAAAAUUCUAUUUAAAAGCACUUUUGAGCGUAUAUUGUGAUAGAGCAACAUAAAUGAAUUCUAAGUUAUUUUGAAAUUAUAAUAAUAUACAAUAUAAUAAUUAAAUAGUAAUUACUAUUAUAUCAUAUACCUCUUAAUCAACGUAUCUACUUCUAGCAAAAGACAUUUAAAACAUGUACUGUCACAAAUUCUAUACCUUAGUAGAUGAAGAAAAUAAGAAAGUACCUCAUAUUAGAACUUUUCUAGAAGAUUAUUUAGUGUGAUGUAGACUGCUUCAAAUAAACCUGGACUUUAGAGGAUGAAUUGAAGAUAUUGUUUUCCAUGGGGUACCUCACCCCACACCCUUCACCAUGCCAAUAAAUAUAGUUUGAAAGUCAACGAAAUUGUUUGAUACUCCACUUUGACUACAACUUUCAUGACUAAAGCUAUCUCCGUUUUAAUUUAUUUGAUUUAUAUUUUUAUUUAUUAUGACAUUUUAAAAAAAUAAAUGAAAAUUUAAAUUUAUAAUUUUAAAUUAAAGAUUCAUUGAAUAUAUCAAUAUAUUAUUAGUUCUUGUGAUAAAGAGUUGCAAAAUAUUUUUUAACCAGACUAAAAAUAAAAGUUGACCAAAUAAAUUAAAAGAAGGAAAAUAUAUUAUAAUCGUUUUGAGAAAAGAAAAUUGCAAGUUGAAGUUGGUUUCAUACUCUUCUUAAUAAAUAGGGAUUAUUAUAAAAAUAUUUCUCUGUUCUCAAUAAACAGUGCUUAUAAAAAUAUGUUGAUUAUUCUUAAUUUAAUUUUUAAAUUUGUAUAAUUGAAUUAAAUCUUAUAUAAGUCCAAAUUAAGUAUAUAUUUGUUAAGGGGGAAAUAGUAUGAUAUAUUCUAUAUAUAAUAAGCCACAAUGCAACUAUCAUUGGAACUAUCUUGUUAGCUUUCAACCAAAAGCUAACAAGAAUUUUAGUUACAUAUUUAUUAUUUAGUUAGUUAAAUAUGUCAUUGUAUGAGCUAUUUAUUACUCAUUCCUUUUGAAUUUGUUAAUCUGAUUUUGAUCUGACACAUAGUUUACGAAAGUAAAUUAGAUUUUGAGAAAAAACAUUAAGUGAUACUUGAAGUUGUCCCAGAUUUUCAAAAAGACACNNNNNNNNNNNNNNNNNNNNNNNNNNNNNNNNNNNNNNNNNNNNNNNNNNNNNNNNNNNNNNNNNNNNNNNNNNNNNNNNNNNNNNNNNNNNNNNNNNNNNNNNNNNNNNNNNNNNNNNNNNNNNNNNNNNNNNNNNNNNNNNNNNNNNNNNNNNNNNNNNNNNNNNNNNNNNNNNNNNNNNNNNNNNNNNNNNNNNNNNNNNNNNNNNNNNNNNNNNNNNNNNNNNNNNNNNNNNNNNNNNNNNNNNNNNNNNNNNNNNNNNNNNNNNNNNNNNNNNNNNNNNNNNNNNNNNNNNNNNNNNNNNNNNNNNNNNNNNNNNNNNNNNNNNNNNNNNNNNNNNNNNNNNNNNNNNNNNNNNNNNNNNNNNNNNNNNNNNNNNNNNNNNNNNNNNNNNNNNNNNNNNNNNNNNNNNNNNNNNNNNNNNNNNNNNNNNNNNNNNNNNNNNNNNNNNNNNNNNNNNNNNNNNNNNNNNNNNNNNNNNNCAUUAUUGAUGUAUUCAAGGAUGCUUUGGUAAUUUUCCUAUGAUGAAUUCGUUUUGUUUGUUGUUUAUUUUUUUUUAAAUAAUUGUAUAAAAUAUUAUAAAUCACAAUAAUUAUUUACUUAAAUAUUCAAAAGAUAUAAAAAUAUGUAAAAGAUCUGAUUAACUCUUCAAAUUUUAUCGGUGACACAUAAAUUGGACAAAUGAAAUAAUAUAUAUUAUUUGAAAAUUACUUACAAAGUACAAUAAUUUACAGUAAUUAACAAUAGAAUAUUUUAAAGACAAAAAAAAUUGAUUGAAUCUCGAAAUUUUAUUAGUACCACAUAAAUUGAGAAAGAAGAAAUAACCUUUAUUAUUUCAAAAUUGCGUAAAAGAUAUUACAAAUCAUACAACAAUAAUUAGCAAUUUAGAAUGUUAAAAGAUAUAAAAAAAAAUUUACCAUAGUUAACAAUAAUUAAAAAUUUAAACUAUUUUAAAUUAAUAUUAAAAUUUGAUUAAUUUUCUCUUUGUCACAUAAAUUGAAACAAAAAAUGAUACAUAUUGGGGCCGUGCUAGCAGGGGCUCCGAUUUCUAAGUAUAGAUUAUACCCACCAAAAAAUAUAUAAAAGGGACAGCCCCCAUCUAGCAGCCGCCAGAAAAUGAUAAUUUUUUUGCAGUGCUAUUAUUAUUAUUUGUAAUUAUUGGAGCAAUUGAUGCGAAAGCAAUUAUUUUUAUUUGUAAUUAUGGUAUAAUUUUUUUUUAAAAAUAAAUUGAUUUUUAUUUUUUAUUCUUUAAAAUCGAAUUACAUUUAACGAGUUAUAAGCUCUUCAAAAGAGUGGAGCAUAACAUAAAUAUUACAAUAUGAAAAUAUAAUUUUUAUGCUUCGUAAUAAUUCGAUUUGCAUCUUUGGACGGGUUAAAUGUUUUUGUAUCUUUCUAAAUAGAAUUUUUUUAUUUAAAAAAUUAGUGAGAAUGAAUCUUUGAAAUCUAAGUAUCAGAUGAAGAACAAGACCAUGACUGUCAAAAUUUAGACCAAGUAAUUCUUCGGUGGAAAUGAUAAUAGUCGUACUUGCUUUUUUUUCCAGAAAGUUAUUUUACUAUGAGCUUGUCUCUCAGAAAAUCACUCAAUUAUGAUUUUUAAUCCAAAAAUCACUUAAUUCCCUGUUUAAUUUUGUUUUGUUUCUCAUGUGAUGUCCAGAUUAAAUUCAAUUCUCGAUAAAAAAAUUCAUAUUAAAGGUAAAACAAUCUUAAUAAAGACGAUUUCAUAGUCACGGCAUUUGAAUUACUGACCUAGUCCUUUAGUACUCUCACCCCUUAGUUUCCUUCAUAUUACUUUGACAUCAUCAGUAUGAUUUAUUUUUCACUUUUAUUAAAUAUAAAUAUUAUAACAUUGCAAUACAUAAUAUAUUAGACCGGUUCUUAAGUGACGAAAUCAUUAGUAAUUAGUAAAUAUAUAUAUACACACAUUAGUGCCUCAAUAUUCAAUUGUACUCUUAAAAGGCACUAAUUCCCUCACCUGAGGAAUGUUAAGAGUGAUUAACGAUAUAAUUUUGAAUUUAAUUUGUAGCAACUUGAGAAAAAAUCAUUCUUUUCAAGUCAAAGAAAUUCCUCUAUUUUUUUUUUGUCUUUAUCUCUUUUGAUUGAUCAAUAAUUCGCUUCUCAAAUUCUUCAACUACCCUUUUAAUGUUCUCCUGUUAGCCGUCUUCUAUUUAUACAGUUAAUCAAUCAACUGAGCUACUGAGAUUUCUCUUUUGUCUCGUUCAAAAUUACAUAUUUCAAAACUUCUGUAUGAAUUAGGAUUUCAUACUAUAACAUGAAUAUAAAAUUUUCAAUUCUUGUUUUACCUUUACUUGUUGUUUCAUCUUAUUGUUCAACAAUCUUUAGUUUAUCAUCUGAAGGUUCACUUUCUGCUCCACAAGAUUUAAUUUCGUCUCGAAAUGGAAAAUUCACUGCUGGUUUCUACUCUGUUGGUGAUAAUGCAUAUAUCUUUGCUAUAUGGUUUACUAAGUCAUUGGCUGAUGGAACCAACACAAUUGUUUGGAUGGCUAAUCGAAAUCAACCGAUAAACGGACAAAAAUCACAUCUGUCGCUGUUUAAAUCAGGCAACCUUGUACUGAUUGACGCGAAUCAGAUCAAUGUUUGGGAAUCUGGUACACAAUCAUCAACUUCCUCUGUUGAGUUAAGAUUGUUGGAUAAUGGAAAUCUUGUUCUUGUAACUUAUGAAGGUCAAAGAUUAUGGCAAAGCUUUGAUUCACCAACUGAUACACUUCUUCCUGAACAACCACUUACGAAAACCUCAAAGCUUGUUUCGCGUAGAAGCUUGACUAAUUUCUCCUCUGGAUUCUAUCAGUUACAUUUUAAUGAAGAUAAUGUCCUGCAUCUUGUCUUUGAUGGAAUAGAGAUGACAAGUGUGUUUUGGCCAAGCCCGUGGUUAAUCGUUUGGGAUGCAGGUUAGUAGAGACAGAUUCAGAAUUUAAAUUUGAUUCGUUAAAUCCUUAGUUUGUUGUCACUCAACUCACAUAUAUUUUUGCAUGAAAAAUACUAGUUUUAGUUGAACUCAUUAUAUGUUUCAUUUGAGUGUAUUGGUUAGUAAAGAUGGAUUCAGGAUUUAAAUUUAGUUGGUUCAAUCUUUAGUACAACUCAUUUUUUUUCGGUUUAACUGAACUCACUGCUGAUCAUGUCUGCAGGUCGAUCCACUUACAAUGACAGCAAAACAGCAGUUCUUGAUCGUUUUGGGAAUUUUACAUCGAGUGAUCGAUUUGGAUUCCAAUCUGCUGAUUAUGGUGUGGAAUUGCAAAGAAGAUUCAGCCUUGACGUAGAUGGUAACCUUCGAUUGUACAGCCUAGAUAAGCUGAGCAACAUUUGGAAAGUUUCUUGGCAGUUAUUUCCAGCAGCCUGCAGGAUUCAUGGAGUUUGUGGAUUGAACAGUUUGUGUUCCUAUGAUCCUGUCUCUGGCAGAAAAUGUUCUUGUGUACCAGGAUACAGGAUGAAAAAUCCUAAAGAUUGGUCCUAUGGUUGUGAACCAGAAUUCAGUAUCUCUUGCAACGAUACAAGCUCGUUGGACUUCAUUCCACUUCGCCAUGUUGAGUUUUACGGGUAUGAUAUUGCAUAUUUUCGCAAUAAAACUUUGCAAGAAUGUAAAGAUUUGUGCUUGAAACACUGUGAUUGUAAAGGUUUUGAAUACAAGUAUGUUGAGGGUAAUGGCACCUAUGGUUGUUACCCGAAAACACUUCUGUUCAAUGGCUAUGUUCAAGCUAGUUGGCCUGAUUUUGUUUACCUUAAAGUGCCUAAAGCACAACGUGCCAGGCAGGAGCAGUAUGAAGGAAACCUUCAAUGUGACGAUAAAAAGGUGAUGUUGGAUAGAGCUUAUAGAAGGAAAGAACAUGGUGGAUGGAUGAAGCCAUUCAUUUGGUUAGUUGUUGUAGCUGGAGUCUUUGAGAUUCUCUGUGUUCUCACUUACUUUAUUAAAACGAGAAAAAGCUCGAAUGAAACCACACAAGGCUACCUUCAUCUUUCGACAAGAUUCAAGAAAUUCACCUAUGCUGAGCUUAAAAAGGCCACUUCCAAUUUCAGUGAAGAGAUAGGUCGAGGAGGCGGUGGUAUUGUGUACAAAGGGAAGUUGUCUGAUGACAGAGUUGCAGCUAUAAAGUCUCUCUAUGGAGCCAGCUAUCAAGGAGAAGCAGAAUUUUUAGCUGAAGUGAGCACUAUAGGCAACGUUAAUCACAUGAAUUUGAUCGAAAUUUGGGGAUAUUGUGCUGAGGGAAAGCACAGGCUUUUAGUUUAUGAGUACAUGGAGUGUGGUUCUUUGUCAGAUAAUUUGAAUGCCAACAAUCUUGAUUGGGAAAAAAGGUUUGAAAUCGCGUUGGGAACGGCUAAAGGACUUGCAUACUUGCAUGAAGAAUGCUUAGAAUGGGUUUUGCAUUGUGAUGUAAAGCCUCAGAACAUACUUUUAGAUUCCAAUUACAAGCCAAAAGUUGCUGACUUUGGGCUUUCAAAGAUAUUUAACAGAGGUGGCUUGGAUCAUUCAAACUUUUCCACGAUAAGGGGGACGAGAGGAUACAUGGCUCCAGAAUGGGUAUUCAAGAUGCCUAUUACAUCCAAAGUCGAUGUCUAUAGUUAUGGCAUUGUUUUAUUAGAGAUGAUCACAGGUAAGAGUCCAGAAGUUUGUGCUGAUGGUGACUCGGGGGAUGAUGAUUCUAUGGGACUAGGAUUGUUGGUCACUUGGAUUAGAGAAAAAAUGCGCGAAAACAGUGAAAGAAAAUCAUGGAUUCAACAAAUUGUGGAUCCUGCAUUGAAUGGUAAAUUCGAUUUGGAAAAAAUGGAGAUCUUAUUAGAGUUAGCUUUGCAAUGUUCGGAAGAAGAUAGAGAUGCAAGACCUACCAUGUGUGAGGUGGUGGAUAAAAUGCUUCAUCCAGAAAAUUUCGAGUUAAAAUUAGACAUGUUAAUGUAGUUUCUCAAGAUGUAAAAUCUUGCCAAAGCUGAUAUAGUACAAGCUUAUAUGUAAUGUCUCUUGAGUAGCUAGUACUUUUGAAUUCCAAAAUGUAAAUCCUUAUAGAAUGACAUAGUUUCUUAACAAUAUUGUGCAUUAUAGCUACUGUUAUGGUCUUGUGCAUCAGUGCUAGAUGGAAAGUGUGCAAGAGUACAUUUAACAGGGAAAAGUGGUAAAUAUAUAUAUCAACAACCACCAAACGGUGUGAUGGGAUGAAUGAGAUUCAGUUACCCUUAACCUACGUCUUGAGUCCUCGAGAAAUUCAUGGUAGAAAAUACUUCCCCCCUUAAAUUGGCACUAUAGGACGCGAAUAUUGAUUAGUCAGACAAUAAAUUCCAACUCACAGAUAUUCUUAUUGGGGCAAACCUUCUAUUAGGACCAGACUAACUAAUAGUGUAUGUCAACUUAACCAUUUGCAGGUGACCAUCAUAUAUCACAAAAUAAGCAAAUUUUGACUAAAACCAAUUAAGAGGCUGCUCAUUAGCUGGAUAGAUUAGCAAUAAAUUCAGUUAUAAAAAAUCUUAAAGUCAUGAUCAACUGUCUCAUAGUCAAUAAUUAAUAAAUGAAUCUUCAUUUCUGUUGGUUGAUAAUCUAUCAAAAUCAUUUAAAUCGUUCCCAAUCUUCCCUAAUCUAAUCCUAGGUCCAAUUUCUGACCAUAAUACUCAAUAAUCACAAGAAUGACUACUGGCUAUUUUGUCAAUUAAUUAUUUAUUUAUUCAGUAUUUACAAUUCAAAGGAUUCUGAGAGACUGAAACUAAUUUCAGUAGAUUGGAUGUUUCCAAAAAGGUUAAACAAUAUUUUUUAUAUUCUCAUAUGUUUGUGUGUUGUUGAGGCCAAAGUCAAUUGUCGCAGCCAAAUCCUCCAAUUUUUUUACGAGCCCGAUAGAUAUAUUUGUAUUCGUUGAUAUAAUUGUAUUUGAAUGGAAAAUGAAAAAGUUGUGAUUUUAUGAAAUGUUGUGAUUUUUCUGUAUGGUUGUAACUUUUGACUUUCUCAAAGAAUUGUGACAUUUCCGAUAAGACACAUUAAGUAUAUGUUCAUACUAUUAUUCGUUGUCUAUAAAUAGAUGAGUUUCUCUUGUUUUUUUUAACAGUGAAUUUUCUCAUCUCCUUAUUCUGCACAAAUAGAUUUUAGUAUACUUUGCUCUCAGUGAGUGAUUUGCUGACACCGUGAUUUUAUGUAUCAAUACACCGGUGAGUAAGAUCAUCCUACAGUUUUAAGUUUCUAGUUUUGAAAAUACUCUUUAAAUUUUGUUGUUUCUUAUCAAUUUUGUAAAAUUUAUUGUUCUAAGUAUUUUUAGUAAUACAUAUUUAAUAACAUAUUCAUUGAUACAAUUAUAUUGUUGAUACAACCUUAUUCCUCUUUCUUCCAAAUCUCGCCCAUCUCUUUCCUCCUUAUAAUUAUGAAUCAUAAUGAUGCAAAGUAUAACUAUAGAAAUCUAAUUGAGCCCAAACUGUAGUCAUUAUUUUAAUUGAGAAAAUUUCAGAAAUAACGAGCCCAAACUGUAGUCAUUAUUUUAAUUGAGAAAAUUUCAGAAAUAACAAAGAUAAUAGACAUAAUAAGACUUUAUAGCUAUAGUUCGAUAAUUGCGCUACAUAGUUAUAGUUUUGUUUGCUAUAGAGAGUGUGGCUUGUAUAUUUUGCUUGUCCGUUUGUAUAUUUCACAUGCAAAUAUACAAACAUGAUAAGAAUAUACAAAUGGAGGCUGCAAUUUGUGUAUUUCGCUUGCUCGUUUAUAUAUUCUGCUUGUAAAUAUACAACAGGGUAAGUAUAUCAAAUUUUAUAUUUAUACAUUUAGGAAUUUUUUCUUAACUCCGUUUGUAUGUAUUUCGCUUGCCAAUAUACAAAUAGAGUAAUUUAUUAUGAAUUUUUCAUAAAUCGUAUACAACUAACUAGGGUAAGCAUAUACAAAGUCUAGAUUUAUACAAUUUAAAAAUCGAAUAGCAAAAUUUCGCAAAACUAUAGCCACAAAUUAAAAAUAAUCAAAACUAUAUAUAUAUUACAUAAUAAUAUACGCCAUUUCCCGUAAAAACACCAAAAGGGCUAGUUCCUUCCGUAUUGGACCCAACUUCUCAAUUCUAAAUCAGACAAAUCCAAAAUUUCUUUACCCAGCUCAUUCUUCUGAUUCCUCUCUGGCGAGGGACAUCUCAAUAAAAUUAGUGGCUUAAAGUCAAAUUAUAAUAAGAAGUUUUAAAUAUAUAAAUAGAUGCACAAAAUAUUAUUAGUUUUGGAUUCUUUUUCUUUUUUUUUGUUCUUGUAUAUAACUACUUGAUUUUAGUAUAUAUUCUUAAAAUACAUUAAGUAUAUAACUUCACAUAAUAAUAUUAUUAUUUUAAAAAAGUAAGAAUUAGUUAUAAUUAUUAAGAGGUUAACAUGUUUGUAAUACAUCACAUUGGAUGUUAAUGAAAAAACUUUAUUUAUUAAUAUAAAAAAUUUAAUUGUUUAAUUCAAAGUUCUAAAAUAUUUGAUAAUAAAAAUUCCUCUUUCUUUCUUUUUCUAUAUUAAUAUUAAAUAUUAUUUAAUGUAAAAAAUUAAAAUCAUAAAAUUCAUUAAAUCACUAUUACAUUACAUUUUUUGUGCAAAUCGAAAGGGGUUUCUGUUCAGCAGAUUUUCAUUCAUCAGUAAAAGUGAAAACGAUGUCGUCUGUUGGAAAAAGGGUGUAUUAGAGAUAGUUAAGUUUGCAGUAACGUAUCAGUUCCAAUUGGUCUCAUCUACUUGUUCGCCAACAAUCUUCAGAAAAUCAUGGGACAUGUAAAUUUCUCCUCUCUUGUUCUCUGUUUAUUUUUUUUCAUUUAAAUUGUAAAGUUUCAUUCUUUUUGCUUGUAUGUUUCUGGGUAUUUAGUUUUUUUGGGAUUUAUUUAUCAGCUUGAGUCAAAUUUCUUGAAUGUGCCUUUUUUUGAAUUCAAGCUUUCUUUGAUGUUUGCUAACCAUUGAUGAUUACGUAAAGUGUAAUGUUUUGGAUAAUCCAAACUUAGUACUUCUGUAAAUGUGAGGCAAUGUGCUUGUGCUAAAUGUGGAGAAAGGUGGAUGCGUACCCUGGAUUGUUGUGUGUGUAAUGCAGAACCUUUUUUGAUAGAACAAUGUCAUUAUUCACAUUUAGAUAACCAACACUAAGCUAGUGCUGGUAUCACGAAAGGGGAACGGGUCUUGAACAAGAUUAUAUAACGCAAAAUUGAGUGAUGAAGAAACAGUGAAAGAGUGUAGAGAAGGAUAUAUCUUGUUGUCAUGAUUUAUGUGAUGGUUUUCUUUAGGAGUCCACUGGAUACAGGAAAUUUAAUUUAACUGAGAUGAAUCAUCUUACCUUCCCGUUCCUUUCUUCCAUGAAACCGUUAACACUUUGCUAAGGAUACUAAGCAUGCAACUUGCCUGAUGCCUCAAAUGUGACAAGUCUUGGCAAAGUAUGUACGUUUAGUGAUGAAGCGACAAUGGUUACAAUUUAUUAAGAUUCCCGGAAGUUAUGAGGCUGAAAGAUGAUCAUUUGUUCAUAAUGAGUAAGAUACAUCUUCUAUUUCUCGCAAGUUAUGAGGCUGAAAGAUGAUCAUUUGUUCAUAAUGAGUAAGAUACAUCUUCUAUUUCUCGCAAGUUAUGAGGCUGAAAGAUGAUCAUUUGUUCAUAAUGAGUAAGAUACAUCUUCUAUUUCUCGCAAGUUAUGAGGCUGAAAGAUGAUCAUUUGUUCAUAAUGAGUAAGAUACAUCUUCUAUUUCUCGCAAGUUAUGAGGCUGAAAGAUGAUCAUUUGUUCAUAAUGAGUAAGAUACAUCUUCUAUUUCUCGCAAGUUAUGAGGCUGAAAGAUGAUCAUUUGUUCAUAAUGAGUAAGAUACUUCUUCUAUUUCUUUGUUUUACCUCACUGAAAAUAUACUUAUCAAAAGAAUUUAUAUAUUCUAAUUUGUAUAAGCAACAGUAGCAUUAUGAAGAUUCAUUCAGACGUUUGUUUAACUGAUGUUUUCCCGUGUAAUUCUUAAGUAAUGUGAGCCAAGUAGUUUCGACUGCUUUGGGGGUUUAUAUUCUGACAUUGCAAGGCUUCUAAAGAAGUACAAUCACCCUUUUGUUGAUAGACAAAGUGCUUCAUUUCAGAUUAGUUCUUAGACGAGUGCUGCAAAAUUGACUGUCGAAGUUUGUCCUUUCUCAGUCUCUGGUCUCUCAUGCUAAAGCUAAUCAAGUUGUAUAAACAAGAGAAGGCUUGUGCUUUUCAUUCUCGGGUUUAGUUAUUCCAAUUUCUCCUUGCAACAGAUGGUAUUUCAUUAAGAUAAUAUACAUUUUUUCUGAUUCAACUUCAAGUUCAGGUCAAUUGGAUUUCCAAAUCAUAUUUAGCUCAUUUACACAAUGAUCAUCUCCAAAUCAUGUAUAAUAAUAUCUGAACGAAUUUAUACCAUGGCUGGUUUUUGUAACUUAUUGCAACAUGGUUCCAAUAGAUAUCUUUGGCUUACAAAAUGAUCUAAACCUUCCAUGUUUUUCGCUUGAAUAUGUAGUUUAUCCAACAGAGAAACUGUAAGGCCACGUACAAUCGCCCGAGGAACUGAGGGAGAUUGCAAAAGAAAUAGCUCAGAAGAGAGUGAGGGACCAAGCAGUACAGAGCUGAGUAAAAUGGAACAAGAAAUCGACGUGCAACCCACAAAACGAAGAGGCAUAGAAGAAUUUUGUACGUAUGUUGCACCAACGAACUUUGUAGAAAAGAUUAGCUUCUUUUCUCUUGUUUAUUACUCCUUUUGUCUAUCUUUCCACUUGGCACGUCCCUUAAGAAGUACAUAAAUAAAAUGAUGAUUUUAGAUUGAUGUGGUUUUUUCAUCUAUCUUUAAUCAGACUAUAUUGAGUUCGAGUCUUAGAAUGGACAAAUUCCUGGUAAGAAAUGUUUAUCCAUGAAUUGGUCAUACACAAUGCUAAUUUGAAUUAGCCAAGUCAGUAAGUAACAAAUACCUAAUGGUCAAAUAACAAAUCAAAGAAAUUCCAAUUGGGGCAAACCUUCAACCUGAAGCACCCUAACAAAUAGUGCAUAACAACAUAAAGAGUAAUAAACAAACUUAGCAUGUUUUUUAGACUAAAACCUAAUUAAUAGCUGGAUAGAUCAGCAAACAAAUUCAGUUAUAAAAAUCUUAAAAGUCAUGAUCAACUGUCUUAUAGUCAAUAAUAAAUUAAUGAUUCUGCAUUUCUGUUAGUUGAUAACCUAACAAAAUCGUUCUCAAUCUCCCUUAAUCUAAUCCUAGAUCCAAAACAAUUAUGGAGUUAUUUUUUUAUCAACUAGGCUAGAUUACAAUAACAUACAGCGAAAACUUGUUUGUUCAAUGGCCGCGCAAUUGAAUGCCUAAUAAAUAAAUACUUGUUCCAAUAAACUUUAUGAACGGACCGCGUAAAAUUAAACACGAAAGAUAGGAUUACCAGUCAAUAAUUGAAAUGUCAUUCUCACCAAACUUGUUAUAUUAUCACAUAAUUUCCACAUGUUCUCGAAUGUUCCUUUUCACAACUAGAUUAGGUUCCACUAAUAUUUUGUUUUUAAAAAUUGUACCAUGUCUAACACAUAAUAGUGCAACCACAAACAAAAAGGGUAAUUUUAACCCACUAUAAUCAGCAAUUGCCUAACCAUCAUAUCACAAAACUUAGCUACUUAAGCAUGUUUUUUUGACUAAUUAACCCCACUAAACAGGCUGCCAGUAGCUGGAACUAAUUAAACAAUUGCAGUUAUCACAAUAAGUCAUGCACAACUGUCUCCACAUUCAAUAAUUAAUAAGUGAAUCUAUUUUUGGUGUUGGUUGAAAAUCCAAACAAAAAAUCAAUCAAAACUGGACCUACUUGGCUUCUCUCCCAAUCUAAUCCAUAAUAUUCGACAUCAUUACUUAAAAACAUUUUUCAAUAUAUCAAUUAUGUGUAAUUCAAUCUUAAACUAUUCGAUUUCGAUUAAACGGAGUGAUGAAUGAAACAAACACGUUUAUAGAAUUCAUUAAAAAAGUAUAUGUUAAAAUUUCCUAAUUCAUAGAUUAAUUUUCAUGAGGCUGAUCUUGUUGCGAGUUCAUCACAAGACAUUAGACAAGAGAAAGAGAUUUUUCUCAGAUUUUCAUCUUUUCGGCAUUUUCAAAUUUAGUUUUCUUCUCUCAUCCUCUCAUUCAUCUGUACAUUACUGCAAAAUUAUUUUUUUGAUUGGAAUUCUACGGAAGUAAUUAAGCAAUAAAAAAAAGGGGUGGGGGAGGAAGACUGCUCCGAACUUCCAUUGUUUCUUCUCCAGUGUCAUUUCGCUGAGCAGCGGCAGCCACAGUUGAUGACUAUAGAACAGUUCAACUGUAAUCAUAGAUGGAUUACUCAAUCUUGCUGAUGCCAAUACGCUUAAUGACUGCAUUCCUUAUUGCAUCGGUCUGCAUGCAGAUACCAUUUUGUUCAAACCCAGACAUGUAACUCUUCACUUCCUUUCUAAUCAUACCUUGCAGAACUGAUAAGAACUCUGGAGUAAAAAACUGUUUCUCUCCUGAUUUGGGAGCAGCACAAAAAUCAUAACUUUGAUUGGAUCGAGGAAGAUGACCCAUGACGGCUGCAGAUGGGGGAAUCGGUUUAUCAACCACCGGCAAAGGAGGCGGUGGUAGUGGUGGUGAAUUAGGGGACUGGGUUGGUUUUUCAAUAGAUCCGGAUCCGGGUAAGGAAAGACAGAGAGAUGUGGGUGGGUCGGGUACAGAUGAAGGAAUUUCAAUCUGCUUAACCGGAGGAGGAGGAGGAGGAAGAGGGAAAAUCCCGCCGGUACGGGGAACAGGUCUAUAAACAAGCGGUUGGGGAAAACCCGAAAGACUGGAAUCACUCAAGUCGGAUCCAGACGGACUACCCGGAUUCAUAACAGAAGAAAAAUUGGUACAAGGACCAACACUAGACGAUCUUUUCAAAGGCGGUUGAGGAGUUUCAAAGCUUAAAUCUUCGGACAUGGAAGGACACUUACGUUUAAGAGUAGAGUUCCAGUGGUUCUUAAUAGCGUUAUCAGUCCGACCCGAUAACAAACGGGCAAUAGUCGCCCAUUUGUUACCAUACUUCGCAUGAGCCCUGAUGAUAGUAUCAUCUUCUUCAGGAGUAAAAGCACGAUGCUCCACUUGAGGGGAAAGCUGGUUACACCACCGGAGACGACAGGAUUUACCAGAUCGACCCGGAACCGAUUUGCUUAUCAAAGUCCAGUUUCUAGGUCCAUGUUUCUCAACAAGCGUCUGCAACAACUCGUCCUCUUCAGGACUCCAUGGACCUUUGAUCCGAUCCGAAUCUUUUCUCUGCGUAAUCGCCGCCAUCAAAGGAAUAGCAACCGAUUAAUUAACCGUAAGAAAAAAGUAAGAUUAGAUUUAGAGAAAACGGGAACAGAGAAAUUUCCGGCGACGGAGAGGAGAUAAUAUUUACAAAUUUGACGGUGGUGAGAGGCGGAGCCUCGCCUUUACUGAACGAAGACUUGUGGGGGAGAGAAGGGGACUUUAUAUACUUGAAGAAGGAAAAAGGAUAGGGAUGACCGGUUGAGGAGGUGGAAAUGACCGGUUAAAGAGAAGCAAAGGCAGUUACACUUAUACAGCUGGCAAACACACGCGUCACGAGAUGAAACGUUCGAUGUAGACACCUAUUUAAAUCACACUUCUAAAAUCUCGGGAACUUUUUAGAUAUUAAGGGAAUAUAGUUGGUUUUAACGUAACUGUGUCAUUUAACUUGACCUUGUAUUUAUCUAUGCCUUUACAAAUUGAAUGUGUAACAAAAUUAAAUAAGCAGAUACACGUAAUGUCACGUAUAAAAUGUAUAUUUAUUUGUUUAAUUUUAUACAAUUUUAAUUGUUUAAUCAUAAAGUUUCAACAUCAAAUAAUAUAUAUGCAAAAUUAUGUCAAGUUAAAUAUCAUAUGUAUAUAUUAUGUCUUUUUAAAUAUAAUCCUUUUGUUCACUUUUACGAACACUGUUUUAGAGUGUUCAUUUUUAAUCCAUCAUUUCACUUCGGUUAUAUUAAUAGUCCAUUUUUGUUAGUUAGUUUAAAUAUAUCUAGAAAGGACAAAUAAAAGAAUAUGUUUAUUCUCAAUAUUAAUUAUUUCUCUUACAUUUUGUAUCGAUUAAUUAUACAUCAUGGUAAAUAUUUUAAGAUGGACAUGUAAAAACUAAAAUAAACGUAGUAGUUUGGUGAUGAAAUUAUUUAUGGAAAAAUAAAAAAAUUAAAUUCACCGACCGUUUUUGGAAGUUAAUAAUAAUUUAUUAAUUUAUUUAUUUUAGAGAAGUGUACGUACGGUUAUAAGGAAAGUGAAUGGGCUUUGACUAAAAGACAGGCUGGAGAGCAUUUUCAUGGGCUUUGAUAUUUUCCUACUUUUAAAUUUCAAUUUUUUUAUAAAUUUGGGUGGUGAUGAGCUGGCACUAAACGACAAAUAAGUGUAGCAGAAUUCUGUGAUAAAGCCAGGCUGUAAAACCUGACCCAUCAUAACGGCCAUCGUGCCCACCUACACGUGGCAGUCAGAAGCGGCCAGUUUGAACUGCCGUAACCGACUUUAACGUUUUCUGUGAUUUAAACUAAUUAAUUAAGUAGAUCGGAUUAGAUAUUAAGGAAUUAAUUAGUGGUUGAUUAGUGUUUGUUACCUAGAUUUAGGAAAAAAACAUGUCACGCAACUUAUAUGGUAACCGAAAGUUUGUUUCUCCACUUCGCCUAAUCAAUGAGCGGAUUUAUAGAGAGGAAGUUUCAACAAUAUUGCUUCAAACUGUGAAUGCUAAUCUAUCAUAAAUAUAAUACUAUUCACUUUUUUUACUUUCUCCGUUUCAUAUUACUUGAUAGUUGACAUGGUACUUUUUUAGUCAAAAAAUAUUAAUUAGAGAUAUAUAUAUUAUUUUGAUAUUAUUUUAUGUAAUUAUUUAAUAUUAAGGAUAAUAUGAAAAGAAAGUAAUAAAACUCUUUUGAUUUUUUAAAAUGAACGAAGAGAUAUUAAUCGUUCAUCGUUUUGAUAACAACAACAUUACAUAGCCUUUUAUGCAAAACUAAAACUUAAAAGACCUAAAAAAAAAUUGUGUCAUUGAAAGUCAAGAUAGAAUCCUAUUGAAGUGGUUAAUUUACUAGAAAUGUCAUGAGAUUUUGUUGGGUAACAACGACAUUGCCUAGCCUUUAUAUAUUUGUAAAAUUUAAACAGUCUUAAAAAUUUAGGUUAUUGAAAAUCGAAUUAAAAUCAUACUAAGAAGUCAAUUGAGAUGAUUAAUUUACAAACAAGAAAAGAAAAAAAAAAGAAUUUUGUCUAGUAACAACGACUUUGCCUUGCCUUUUGCAUGAUUCUGAAACUUAUACAACCUACAAAUUUUGUGUCUGUUGAAAAUUUGAUUAUAAUCAUAUCGAGAGGUUCUUUGUGAUGAUUAAUUUACAAAAUAAUGUCAUGGAAUUUUUUAUGCAAUAUUUCAACGUAUUAAAAUAAGUGUUUAUGAAUUGAUCUCAUCCUUUAAGAUUUUUUCAGUUUUUUUUUUAUUAAUAACCUUUUCAUUUAUAAUAUUUCUAUUACUAUUUUUUGUAGUGCAUUCUCGAAUAAUAAGCGCGAUAUCUGAAUAUUCCUUUUUUUUUUUGCCCUUUCAUACCCUUACGAAGGUGCAUAAGAAUAGUGAGCUAAAUUGUUGGCAAUAAAACAAAUAAUCUGGUGAGCUAAAUUUAGUAUUGUAGUAUUCUAUGAAAAAGUUAGAAUAAUCGAAAAAAAAAUUUUAUAAAUAAAUAAUUUGUUUCUCAAUUUUUGAUAGUUUGAAUUAGAGUCACAAUCUUUUUCUUCUUUGUGUUUUCUACCUUAUUUUCUUUGAGUUGCUAUUCUAGUUUAAAGGAGGUUGACCAAUAUAUCAACACGUUCUUUCUUAUAAAGGUACAGCAAACAAUCUUUAUCUUAUAAAAUAAAUUUAAUUUAAUUUAACAUUAAAAAUUAAUAAAAUCAACUUUAGAAAGAAAAAAAAAGUGACAUAUAUCAUGAGACAUAUGAAGUUAUUUGUUUUAACUUUUCUUCUCUUGCAUAUCUACGGUGUCGCUAAAAAUGAGUAAUGAUUCUUUCUUUCUAAUUUACUUUAUUCGUUUAUUUUAAUCAAGGAUAUGAAAAAUAGAGAAAUGAAAAGGAAGAUUAGUUAUAAUGAUUCUAUAAGUAUCAAUUAUUAUAGGGAAAAGGAUAAAAAAAAUACCCUUAAACUAUGUGAAAGAAACAAAAGAGCCUUUUGUUUAUAGUUUUGGCUCAAAAAUGUCCUUAUCGUCAAUAUUUUGAUCCAAAAAUGCUCUUGCAAUUAAUACUCUGGUCCAGAAAUGACUUUAUACUUACAAAAUGGGUCAAAAAUGCUCUUUCCCGAAUAAAUAUUUUUUUAAUUAUUUUUAAACACAUCUUCUUCCUAAUUAAAUUAUUAUUAAAGAACAUUAUUCUUGUUUUCUUUCUUCUAAAAUCACUUUAACCAAAAAAAAGUAGGAAUUUUUUUUUUCCAUCUUAAUCUUAUUGUAUCAAUUAAAAUAGAAUAAUUUCAUGUACCCUUUCGACAAAUAAUAUAUGUCAUAUAUAUAUAAAUCAUAGUAUAUCCAUCAUUAAUUUAUAUUUAUAUAACGAUAAAAAAUAAUGAUAAUAAAAUAAGAAAUAUUUUCAUUUUUUUAAAUUGAAGUAAGAUAAACAUUUGCUAAUUUAAAAAAACAUUAUUAGAAAAAGAAUGUGUUAAAAAGAAAAUAAUAAUAUAUUUAUUUGAAAAUUGAGCAUUUUUGACCCAUUAAAUAACAAUAAGGGAAUUUUUGGAUCAAAGUAUUGACGGCAAAGACAUUUUUGGACCAAACUACAAACGGAUGACAUUUUUCGCAUAGUUUAAGGGCAUUUUUGAACCAAAUUAUUGAUAGUAAGGGCAUUUUUGAGCCAAAUUAUAAACUGAGGGUAUUUUUAAUCCUUUCAUAUAGUUUAAGGAUAUUUUUUACCCUUUUCCCUUUAUAAACUAAUUACUCAUAUUCCUUUUGUUCUUUCCUUCUUUUCACUUUACUUAUCACAUCUUGUAUUUCGAGAAUCAAAUGAUACGAAUUUUUAUCAAUAUUUUAAGAAGGAUUGCAACUUAUGGUAGUUUUUAUAUAGUUUUCUAAGUUAAACUUAACUUCAAAAAAAAAGUUUUCGUUAAAUAAAAAUAUGACAAAUAAAAAAGAACGGAGAAAGCAAUAAAAAUCAUUUGUGUUUAAUUAAGUGGUUAUCACUAUUAGCAAUGAGUUUUAAAUGUAGGGAAAUGAGAACCACAAAAUGAAUGAAGGCAACUCAUUUCAUCUCCAUGCAAUGAAUAUGGGGCCCUUUGUCGUUUACGAAUGUACCUUUGCCCAAUACAUGUCUAACAAGCGUUUGGUUAAUCAACCUAUCAUAAAUUGCCAUUACACAAAUUAAUAAUUUGGUCCCUAUAUUAUGAAUAAAUUUUGUUUUGAUUCUCGUGAUGUAUAAAAAUAGAGUAUAUUUAAUCUUGAAUCAAUUGAAAUGUAUAAAUUUGAUAGGUAAAAAAUACGUUAUUAGGCUAUUUUAAAAUUGGUUUGUUUCGAUUAGCUCAAGGGUAAUAUUGACUUAUCGUUUCAUAUUUUUGGAGCUAUUGUUUGUAAGACAGGUAUUUUUGAGCUAUUUAGUUAGUUAAAGGAUAUUUUUGAAUUACCUAGCUAAGUUAGAGACAGAAAACAUGAAAAAGAUCUAAGAAAAUGGACACUUGAUGAAUCAGUUAGAACAAAAAUCAAGACAUGUAUCGCCUUCUGUUUAAAUAGUUCCCCGAGAAAACGAAGCUGGUCCAUCAAAUCAGCUCCUUCUUGCCCCAAAAAAACAACAAGAAGAUCAUAUUUGAACCAAAGAGGGAACAUAGGGUAAAUUGACCUAUUUGAAAUGGCCCUUUUCAUCCCUUUUAUUUAUAUUUCCUUUAACUAUGAGCCUAUGACCAUUACAAUGAGUUCAAUUUGUGUUUAUAGGAUAUUCGUUAAUUAAUUGAAUUAUAAAGCUAAAUAAUUUUUUCAUUUUUAUUUCGUAAUUCUUCUUCUUCUUAUUAUUUGAUAUCAUGAACACAAUAAUUGUGAGUUAUAUUUGAUAGUAAUGUUUACCAAUUUUUUUCAACUGCUACUAAUAAAGUCUACAUCAGUAGACUAUUAACUAACUUAUUUCCUCAUAAUUGUUAUGUUGGAAAAUAAAUGCUUAAAUCUAUCUGUUGUCAAAUGUUAGAAUUAAUUUCUUUAAUAUUUGAUAGUGCUAUACUAGUCCUUCUCUUAUUCAGUGGCGGAGACAGAAUUUUCAAUAAAGGGAUUUAAAAUCUGAAAAAAUACACACAUGAAGUAGUCGAAGGGGGUUCAACAUCUACUAUAUAUACCUAAAAAGGUAUUUUAACCAUGUAUAAAUUAUAUAAUUUUCCGCCGAAGGGGUUUGGAUGAACCCCCUAAUAGUAAGAUGGCUCUGCCCCUGCUCUUAUUUAUAUUAUAGACACAGGUGCCCCGUGCUAGCACAUACCCAAUAUCUUAGUAUUUUUUUAAUUUUAAUUUAUGUGAUAUAGGUAGAAUUUAGAAAGUUCAUUAAAUUUUAAUGUGAUUUUUAGAUAUUUAAGAUGUUAAUUAUUUUUUGUUUGCACAAAUUUAUUGUGAAGAGGUUCGUUAAGAUGUCCAUAAUUAAUGUAUUUUUCGUCAUCGAUCGUUCAUUUUUUACUCAAAGUAAUUACAAGAUAUAAACAAAUAUUAUCAACAUUCAAAAUAAUAAAACAAACUAAAGAAUAUGAAUUUAAUACUAAAAGUCAUAGCUAAAUGGAUUCUAUAAUUUCGAAAAAAUUAUACACUAAUUAAAUUAAAGCAGAAUAAAAAAAGUAAUUUAAAAAAAAUAAAUUGAAGCACGCCGAAGCAGGCAGGUCGAUAGAGAUGCGUAUGCUUCAGCGCGAACUAUCAAAGUAGAACAAAAAAAAUAACUUUUUAAAUAUUUUUUCAAAACACACUGAAGCAGGUACGUCAGCACAAACGGUCUCUUAUAUAAUAUAAGAGAAAAUACAAUAAGUUUUCUUUGUUGGAAGUUAUGUAUCUUUUACUUUUACUUUUUUCUUU
rnacentral:lncRNA from 1 species